GUUGAACAAGUGCGGGAUUGACGUUUGAUCUCGAUACAUGGCUUAUGGCUUAAUAAUCAGAAGAUGCUUCGCAUGACUCCAACUCUGCCGAAUCAGGAGAAUCUAACUCGACCAGAAAACCAGCAAACCUAAGUCCCUACAAAGAGGGUUUUCUUAUAUCUUGAUUUUCCCCUAUCUCUGUUAUCCAGGGAUUUCAGUCGUUACUUUGCUUUUUGUAAAGGCAUGUUUUCUUUUUACAAGAUGUGGUGUGUCAAAUGGAUGUAACUAGCGGAAAAUUGGUUCGUGUAGUGUGAACUGACUUGAAAAUGUUAUUUGCAAGUAACUCUCAGAGAAUGCUCCUUAGCUAUGUGUGUUCUUGGUUGUGUGUGUAUGAAUCUGAUUUGUGGCUGCUCAAAAUCUUCCGUAUGUGUUUGCUGUUGUGUUAGACUCUAGUUAAUUCCAGUUGGUAAAUUUGUAGAAAAUGAGUAAUGAGGAACGGUUGGUGUUUCUUUAAAUGUUGUUCUCAGCAACAUUUGAUAACUAUGCUCUUUGCAUUUAUUGUUCAGUGUUUCAAGUUCUUAUGCUCUUGUUCCUACUGUUUCCAUGGUUCCAUGACAGUAGAACAGCACAAUAUAGCUUCUAUUGCUGCCAAAUUCUUGAUGCAUCUCUACUUUCCCAAUAUUCCUUUUCUAUGGAAUUAAAAUUGCGACAACACAGUUGUUCAUCUCUUUAUCAUCAUGACAUUUUUUGGAUGCAGAAGCGAUGAGGGAAAUGCAGAGUGCUUCAAGAUUUGAUGAACCUCAGAAUGGAUAGGCCAGCGGACAUGCUAUUCGUAAACAGGUCGUCCAAGAAGUUGAGCAAGUUGCUCUACAAAGCUGAUGCUUUAUGAUGUUUUUUUUUUCUUUCAAUUAUUGCGUCAUCUGUAGUGUAGUGUAGCUUUGCUUACCAGUAAAAGUAUGCUAAAAAAUAUCAAAAGUUCAAAACUUUACUGAAUGCAAAGGGUUUUUGACUGUGCCUCAAUCUGAUUGUUUUUCUAUAUUUUCUAUAUUCUGUUAUAAUAUAUAUUAAUUUCAGUUUUCCCUUCAUUUUUUUCAGUUCCUUAUAAUUUCCAUCUUUUAUUUCAGAAUUUUUAUCAUUAUGAAAAAUACUGAAAUACCCUUGAAAUGGGGUGAUCUGUAGUGGUGUGACAAACUACGGAUUUUGAAAACAUAUAUAUAUGGGGCAAAAUUGUAGCAGUGGUCCUUGGACUAAGACCAAAUUUUACUUUUCGUCUAUUUGGUCAUUGGACUGAGAAAGUUCCCAAAUUUCAAAAACAAAAGCCGAAAUCAUCACAAUAGAGCCUUACCUCCCUUCUUGGCGCCCCAGACUCAAAUUAUUGAAAAAUACGUACGUGUACUCAAUAAAUAGAAUAUUUUAAAGGUAUAGUCGGGUGGCUAUACGUAUUUUGAUACGUGGACGCCUUACCGAGAGACGGGUCCCUCUUUUACAAAUGGUAUAGCCGGCCGGCUGUACUCGGUGAUUCUAAAAAUAGUAUAGCCGUGCGGCUACACUGGCUAUACUAUUUUUUAAAAAAAUAGGAUAGCCGUGCGGCUACACUUAUUUUGACUAGGCGGGUCCUUUUUAUAUAUAUAUAAAUAGUAUAGCCGAUGGACUAUACUCGUUUUCUCUAUUUUUUAAAAAAUAGUAUAGCCGUCCGGCCUUACUCGGUUUUAUUAAUAAUUAAAAAAUAGGGAGUUUCACUAUAUACCCAAAAUAGGGGUUGAAAUUAUAAAUAAAUAAAAAAUAAAAAAAACCCAAUAUGAAAUGCACUUUAGAAACACACCCAAAAUCCAUUUACUACAUAAGAAAUGGGUGUUGAAGUUCCUAUAAAUUACAUGACUGCCAUUGAUUAACUUAAAAUAAGCCCAACACAAAAAACUCAAAAAAAAAAAAAAAAAAAAAUCCUAAACAAGCCCAGCAAGCCCGAAGUACAUUAUUAAUACCAUAUCAUAGAAGUACAUUGAUAAUACCAUGUCAUAGAAGUAUAUUGUUAAUACCAUGUCAUAGAAGUACAUUGCUAAUACCAUUUCAUACAAAAAAACUCAAAAAACCCAAAAAAGAGCCCAGCAAGACAUCAGAUAUCUUUUGCAGAAACCACCUCUAAUUGUUCAUAGUUUCACCAGAAACAAUCGCAAAGGCAAAACGAAAUACCUCUACAAGAAAAAGAAAAAAGAAAAUACACUGUUAAUACUAUGUCAUAACACUAUCUUCCUAGUAAAAAUUACAUUAUGCAUAUCAUAAACUUCAAGUGCAUAGCUAUAUAUAGAGCAAAUAUAGAGCAUGCUUUGUUACUGAAAAUCUAUUAAUACUAUGUCAUAGAAGUACACUGUUAAUAUUAUGUCAUAGAAGUGCACUAUUAAUACUAUGCCAUAGAAAUCAUCUCAGUUGCAGGGUAUGAACAGUAUAACAACUAUUUAUACCACUUACUGGAAGUUAACAACUAUGUCAUUUCAUUUGCGUAAUAUGUAUGAUAAAGAAUAUAAUACCAAACAUCAAAACCAAGUUAACACUAAAUAGUGUUUUACACAUUAAAAUCACAAAGAACCUAGAUCACUGAGAAUCUAAAUCCAAGAACAAUAAUUAUCAAUUUUCUCAGUAACCAAACAUUAUAUAGCAUACACAGAUAGAGCUAAACAAGUCAACAACAAUGAGAAAAACAAGCAUAAUGAAUUCUAAAUCACUAAUUCCAAAUAUUAUAUCAUUCUAAAAUAGAAAAAGCAAUACAUCAAUGACUCAUAUUGACUAAUUAAGUAUUUUAUGCCAAGAACUCAUCCCAAAAUUUUGACUACCACCAACUCUAGCAUCGUCGGUGCUCCAAAGAAUGAAGAAUCAAAUUGAAUGACCAUAUCACCAUUGCCAAAACCUCAAUUCAAUAAUAUGCUAAGCAAACACAUAAAUUGAACCCCUUUUUAAGGCUUUUGCAAAAUCUCUGAGAAAUUGCCCUUUAAAUAUAUCAUCAAGCAACCUGAGCCUAUAACCUUUCUUCCCACAUCGAAACUUCUCCAGUUUAGCAUAUUGGCAUUUUUGGAACUGCAAACAAAUCUAUUAACUAAAACAAUUCCCUUUGCACAGUAAAACAAAAAUUGCUAUAAGGAAAAGCUAAAAUACCUGUUGAUUUGAACAAAGGUCUCUACUCCGUAUGUGUUGAGGUUGUUGUGGUUGACGUCGCUCAAAUUCGACGACGCUGGAGAAGGAACUGGAGGUGUGUCAUCGGCCGACGGAGAUUGAGACAGAGAUAAUUGUGGUAGCAUCGGAGAUGAUGAAGGAUGGUGUGUUCAUUGGAGCGUCCGACGGAGAUGGGGGAAGGGAAAUUGGAGAUAGAGUUUUGGGCGAAGGUGAAUUGACGACAGGUUAUGGUGAUGGAGUCGGCGAGGACUAUGGUGGAGACGAUGAAGAUUAAAUGGGAAUUGGAGUAGGAGAAAAGCCAGAAGCAGAGCUUGAUUGUGGAAGAAAAAGAAGAAAGUUCGAGAUGUGUGUUGAUGAAGAUUGAGUUGAUUAAAAGACAAAGCAAAAGGGCAAAACAUUAAUCCAACAUAGCUGUUGAGUUUAAGAAAUUGACAGAUGUCAAUUUUUGGGUUUAUUUUGAGUGUGUUUAUAUGUAUUGAAUGGUAUAGGGUUUUUUAUUUUUUUUAUUUUUUAUAGAACUAUGUCUAGAAAUGGAUAUUUAACUAAUUUUCUAUAAAAAAUAUUAUAGCCGCCCGGCUAUACCUAUUUCGACUCGUGGCACCUACUCAUGAGGCGGCUUCUCUUUUUUUAUAUGUAAAUAGCAUAGCCGAGCGGCUACACUCGGUUUUUAUUGUUUUUAAAAAUAGUACAGUCUCAUGGCUAUACUAAUUCUAUAAAAUUUUUUUGGGAAAACCGAAAAAAUGGUUCCACAUUAGAGAACUUCUAAACAUCUUUGAAUUUCAAUAGAAGCGUCUCCUUUAAUGUACAUGGGUCGCUUCUAAAAUAGAGCCAGCUCAUUAACAGUGAAGAUGAUCACCACCCUAUCAGAAUCACAGACUUGCUGACCAUGGGAAUCAAAAUUUGUCCUUAACACUUUUCACAAAAGGAACCUUUUAGGCUUCUUUUUCCCAGUUCAACUUGCUGCCCUUAUCCAAAUGAACUCUUAACAAAGAUUCUUGGUCAAUUUGGGGGUAUCCAAAUGUACUCUUAACAAAGCUUCUUGGUCAAAUGCAAUUGUCUUGUUUUGUUUGUUCUUAGAUCUGAAAGUGAACUUCUCACAAGAUCCAGUUAUAGUUCUCAUGUAUGUACUUAGAUCUGUAUAUGAAGUAAUGUAGUUAAAACCUAUUUUAAAAUUCAAAAGUUGGAAUUUUAUACUUUAAAAUUAUACAUUUAGUUCGCAUAUAAAGCAGGACUGUCAUGUAUAUGUAUCUCGUAUUUUCCACAGACUUAGGUUGGUGAUAUUGUCAGUUGCUUUGGGUUCAAAACUCCCAAUCUCCAUUUUCACCUCAUUAUUGAUUUGCAAGGUGCAUGGUGUGGCUGCAUUGCAUCUAUGUACUCUCUGUCUAUAAUUUUUUCUCUCAUGCAAUGCAAGAUGAGAGACUCCAUGUCAAGAAGGGUGUUGUGAGCUUGAUGCUCCAUUCUCUUUCACUUGUCUUCACUUCACUCCCUUUUUACUGUAAGUCUGGCCAACUGAUGUGUUUUUCCUUUGAAGCCAUUCUUUCCAGAUUCAAUAUAACACACUCUUGGUAUGAUUAGGGCUCAUACAUAGGGUGUUGUUACUUUUGCAAUUGUGUGAGUUGGCUUUAUUUUUAAAACAUGCAGAAAACUCAAUACCCACCAGCUUGGUUCUGCAUUGGCUUUAUGUCUCCUCCAUAUUAAGCACAGACACAAUUCCGUUCUACUCUUAUUAUCACAAGUGCUUUCAUGCAUUAGGCCAAUGCCUGUCAAAAAUCUGAUGAUUCAUAUGACAUUUAAGGGCUGGUAAGGACAAAUUAAUAUCAAAUGAUUGUUGAGUAAAAUUAAAAAUAAUUUUUUGUUUUUAUUUUAUUAAUUUUUCUCAUCUUUCAUGCCCUUUUUACAUGUUUUCUUAUCUCUUCACCACUCACCACAAAAAAAGAAGAAGAAACUCUGAAAAAUAGACCUAGGCGCUCCUAGGCCCUGGGCGGGAGAACACCACCGCGAGUUCACCCUAAACGUUAGGGGUAGGCGCCAGGGAGUUAGGCGGCCUGGGCGGGUCAAGUGGCUGCUUCUCUACUCUUCUCGACCCAACUAGUGUCGGCGAUGGCUUCUUCUCUACUCAUCAAAGGUAUCUUUAAAUUUUUCUUCUUUUCUUUGUAGCUGUUGCUGAGCUCACCUUAUUUCAAGGGCGCGCAAGAGGAGAUGAUGGAGGCAGAGAAAGAUGAGAGAGGAUGGAGGUAGAGAGAGAUGGGAGGUGGCCAAUGGCGGAUCCAGAAAUUUUUAUAAGGGUAGGCUAAUUUUUUUUUUAUUUUUUAUAGAGGAGAUAUAUUAUAAGACUUUUUUCUCUUGAAACAAAAAUGUAAAUAAAAUUUUAUAAAUCAAACAAAGCCACAAUAUGAGCAAAUAUAACACAAAGAAGUACAAAAUAUAAAUAAAUACCAAACAAUCUCAAAAAAUCGUUCUCGUACAAAACUAUCCUUAUCAACAAAUCUUAAAACAAUGUUCAUUUGCUCUCUAUUAGAUGCAUCUUUUGCUUUAUCAACAAGAUACAAUAAGUUGAUUCCCCAAAAAUACUAGACAUUAAAAAUCAUAUGCUAAUUAAUAAUUCAAGUUGCAAAAAUAAAACAUAUAUCAACAAUCUCCAAAAGUUUUCACUUAAACCCUAAAUCGUAAAAACUUAACGACAAUUAAAAUUGGAAUUGAAUCUAUAUAUAUAUAUAUAUAUAUAUAUAUAUUUUUUUUUUUUAACUUACCAAGAUUGAAGAACCCACUCAAGAUAGGUUGGUACAAUUUUUUAGAGGAGGAAAGCUAUUUCCUCUAGGUUCUCAAGGUUCAAAUAUGGCGUUUUGGUUGGCUAGAAGAAAUUUUUUUAUGUUUGCUCUAUGUGGGCGUAGCCCAAUAUCAGUAUGAUUAGAAUAGCUCAAGUUGAUAGAGCCUUAGCGUGAGUUUUGCUUCUAAUCAAAUUUAUAUAGAUUUGGAUUGGAUUGACAUUUAUUACUUUCUAUAUGCUUUAAGAGUGGGCUUAUUUUAAAUAGAGGACUGAGCUAUUAUUAAUUUAUUAAAAAAAGAAAAACAAUGCAUGUGUGGGCUAUAUUUAUUUAGUGCAAUGGGCUAAUAUUUAUUUGAGUAGGAAUAAACCUAUAAUAAUAAGACCAUGUUUAAUAUUUCACAAAUGUUCCAGCCUAGCCUUUGGAGGUGGUGGAGGCGGAGAGAUAAGAGCGAUUCCAACGGGCGGGCCGAGCCCGAGGCGAGGGGGAAAAAAAAAAAUUUCGUUCCACCGCGUAGCCCAGGCCCGGGGGGCUUGUGGGACCCACCAACUCGGGCCAGCCCAAAGGCGAGACGAGCCCGACCUGCAGCCCACGAGCGCUGAUGUCAGCGAGCGCGUUCAAAUUUUUUUUUACCGUUGGCCCGUGCAACCAGCACGCGCUGACGUCAGCGCGACGCCAGCUCCAACGGGAAGUUGCCACGUGUCGCGCCCCCAGCCCUCUGAUCAGCAUAUCCGAAUCCAAUCCUACGGCUGAGCCUUUUUUGGCCAAUAAAAAUAUGAAAAAAAAAUCGAAAUUUUUUUUUAAAAAUACUAAAAAAUUUAGAUUUUUUUUUCUAUAAAUACCUAUCAAUACCCUUCACUUUCAACACUAAUCCUCAUACAUUUCAUUAUACUUCUACUAUUAUUCACUCUUUACUCAACAUUUUCCUCUUUUUCAUCUUGUAUUUUGAUUUCAUAUUUUUAUGGCUUCUUCUAUCGAAACCGGAGGGGCUUGGAGCACCAUGGAAGAUGUUUCCUUGUGUGAGGCUUGGCUCCAAAUUUGUCAUUGUCCCGUGUCUGGCAAUGAGAUGAAAUUUUUUCAUAUGUGGAAAAAAAUUCAUGCCGAAUUUUGUGAAAAAAUUCCGGGGUCUACUCGUAUGGAGAUGGCAUUAUCCAAUAGGUGGAAAAUUCUCAAUAAAGAGUUGAGAAAAUGGAGAGCUGCCCUAGCAAAAGCGAUGGACAACUAUAGAAGCGGGGAAAAUCGUACUAACGAGGUAAGUAUUUUAUAAUUUUUGUUGUAUUAAGUUUAAUCUCCUAAUAUAUAUAUUUUGUUAAUAUUGCUUGCAUUUUCAAUAUGUUGUUAAUAUUUCUUGCAUUUUAAAUAUUUUGUUCAUAUUUCUUGCAUUAUCAAUAUUUUGUUAAUAUUUCUUGCAUUUUAAAUAUUUUGUUCAUAUUUCUUGCAUUUUCAAUAUUUUGUUAAUAUUUCUUGCAUUUUCAAUAUGUUGUUAAUAUUUUAAAUAUUUAUUGCAUUUCCAUUUUUUUGUUAAAUAGAUGAUUCAAGCACAAAUGUGGUUCGGUGCAACCGGGGGUGGCAAAAAAAUUUUCAACCAUCAUGAAUGUUGGGAGGUGGUGAAAUAUUACAAACGCUUCAUAAUUAUUCCGACGGGUCCCGCCGUUGUGUUAAACGAGACGCCACUCCGUGAUUCAAUGACAUCGGAUUCACCUCUCGAUUCUCCUAUGAGUCAAGACUCACCCAUCGAAAAGGAGCCGAGGCCCAUUGGCCGAAAGGCCACGAUGCAAAAGAAAGCGGGUAAUUCAAGCAAUAAUAAUUCAAAGUUUUUGGAGGAAAUUGCAAGGCAAAACGGCAUAAGAAUUGAAAUGGAGCAGAAACGCCAAGAUAACGAGUUGACCCUUCAAGCUGAGUAUGCACGAGAAAGGGAGUAUUUGCGCAAAAAAGAUAUGGACAAGAUGGAUCGGGAAACCAUGGCGAUGGAUACAAGUCAUAUGUCUCCUAAAACAAAACAAUUUUGAAAGCUAGAACGAAGGGAUGUUAUGAGAAGAAGACGAGACGAUGAAGUUGCGUGAAUUUUUAUUUUUUUUUAAUACGUUUUCUUCAAAACAACGUCGUUUUGAGGUUUUGGUUUCUUUGAACAUUGGUUUUAAGUUAAAUGCACGUUAACUUUUAACAUUCCAUUUUUGUUUAUUUUUUAAAUGUUUUUUUUGUUUGACUCCCCAAAUGCUGUGCUUACCUUUAUUUAAAUAUAUAUAUAUAUUUUUAAAUUAUAAAUAUUUUAACAUGGACAUAUAUAUAAUAUAACCCUAAUAUUAUGUUGGAGGACUAAUUAUUAUGCUUAAAUGAGAACUAGUACUUGUAAUUGAUAGAUUAUUAUGGUUUAAUACGAAUUACUUUUACAAUUUGUUAUUAAAAUAAAUUAAUGUUCAAAGGGCUUACGCCUCAAUACUUCAACGCUGACGCCUCGCAAAGCACAACUAAAAAUGCAUAGCCUCUACGCCUCGUCUUUGUCCUAGCACAAAUAGUUUCGUACGUACAACAGAGAUUUCCCCAGUUGCCACUAAGGCUGACUUUUGAAUUGAUAUCUUUGUUUAGUUAGAACUUAUAGUUAUAGUUUGAUACAAUAUACAUCUGAGUGGCCACAUAUUCUGAUAUGAUCUUGCAAUUUCAUAUCGUUUAUUGUUGCAGAAGAAAACUUAAAUUUGGAGGAAGGAAGUGCUGUUGGGAAUGCAUAUUAUAAAAGUGAGCUUCAUUUUCUCAUUUUCCCAGAUUGUCUUUCUGUGAGUUUAAGCAGCAUUCUGCACACCGAAAGCACAAAUUGAAUUACAUUUGGUGUGUCCAAGGAUACUUGUCUUGUUUGACUGAUCAAUUUCAUUCUUUUUUAGAGGUAAUCUGCCUUAGCCUUUUGUCUCAUUUCCAUAUUAAGAGCAGAUAGAAUUUCAUUCUACAAUCUUAUCUUUUUUUUGGGUAAUCAGAAAAUGUCUUCUUUUAUAGAGACAUUGUCCUUGCCAACGGUAUACAGACCCGUCAAUAUCCUUAUUAAUUAACGCUAAUUUCAUGGAGCUUGUGGGAGCAUAUAUUUUCGUCUCCAAUCAGGGCACGCCACGUGGAAAAGAAGAUUAUCUCUUUAAUUAAUUAAUUAAAUCAGUUUAUCUGGCUAAUUAAUUAAUUGGGAUAAAUAUCUUAAUUAAUAUGAUAUUAUCUUUAUUUAAAGAGAUAAUAUCAUUAAUUAAGAUAUUAUCAUAAUAAAGAGAAGAUAAUCUAUAUAUAUAAAGCAAAAGGCAGAGAAUGGUGAAACAUUCAAAAUACCAGAAAAUGCCCUUGGUUAAUGCAAACAUUAAGAAUUCAAAUUAUUAAUUAAAUGAGGAUAAUAUGGUAAAUUCACACUUUUUCAUAUUUAAAAAAAUUAAAAGAAAAAGAAAAAGCAGAUAAUGGAUCAUAUUUUUAUGGAACACAACUACCCAUUAUCUUUUUUAAUUCUAAAAUAAAUUUACUUAUUUUUUUAAAAAAACCUCUCGCAAGCGCGGAAGCGCGUGCAGAGAGGCUAGUAUCAUUUAAAUCAGAUAUUAUCUUCUUAAGAGAUAAUGUCUAUUUAAUUCAGAUAUUAUCAGGCCCAACUCGAUUCCUACGAAACCCUAGCCCCGAGGCUCCUAUAAAUAGACGACCUCAUUCAUCAUUCAAGAUACAUCUAAACCUACUCCUUAUACCCGAGAAAAAUACCCGAAGCUCUCUCUCCCUCUCCACUCUCCAUAUUUCCUCCUCACGGCUCCGGCCACCCGGUUUACACCCUACAUAAAACUCCGUACCCUUUGCUUAGCUAUUGUUUUCCUACAAACACUCGAACUAACUUAGGUAUCGGAGGGUCUUUGGCCAACACCCCCCGGGUGUGGUCUAUUUACUCCAGUCUUUUUUACAGGAAUCGAGGAAGAGAGAGAAGGAAGAUCGAAGGUUGAAGGAUCUAGAAGCGAAUAUUCUCCCGUGAGAUUAUUUGCACAAACAUUUGGUGCUUUCAUUGAGAGCGCGAGUUAUACUCAACGCGUGCUCAAGGAAUCCGUUCCUCCUAUUUUCCAAUCCACCGAAGCCUUCCAAACAACCAUGGUUGGAAGCAAGCGCACGAGGAGCAAAACCGCCGCUAUGGCUCAAUCCGUGACGGCCCAAAGCUACUCCUCCCACGAUCCCGCGAUCGACAUGACGGCCCCACCACCUCUCGCCGCCAUGAACCCUCAACAGCCACCCCGUGUGACUGGAACCACCGUACCGGCCUCCGCCGCCGUCGUACCAUCUCAAGGCCCCAUGGCCGAACCUAGCCACCUUCAUAGCACCACCGUUGAGCAUGGUGGAACCUCACAUCUAGUUGGGCUCACUACCACCGCCGACUUUGGCCCAAUCCUGGAGCAACUUCAACCAUUCCCUCCAUUGCCUCCAUGCUCGACGCAUGCUCCCACGCACACAUCCAACGAAAACCUAGCCCGUGUGCAAUUGGGCUCUACACAUUUCUCUCCUCCCGAUCCACGAAGUCAAGUAGACCUUAAUCUGAGAGUUGACCAGCUAACUCAGAGAAUGGACGACCAAAACAAUUUGAUGAGGCAAUUCUUCAAUCAAAUAAACUUGGCUCAAAACCUUGGCCUUGGACAACAGGGCGAAGAGAUAAGGAUAAACGAACGCGCCGAUAGGCAGUUCGGCGGGAACCAAGCAGGUCGAGCAGAAGUAAGCAGACAAGGAAAUGCGCAACAACGAGAUCAGCUCGCGGACAUGUCGCAAGCAUCCGCAAGUCACACUCAGAGCAGACGAAGUUUCCCAUCCAGAUUGAAUUUAAGGACCAACGUGCGCGAUAGGCUGGGCCCAAGACCUGACAUCCACGCUCGCCUGGGCCAGCAUGAAGACGUUCAUGAAAGGCUAGGCUCCCAGGGAGGUCAACUUGACGGCCAUCGAGACGAGGAUCGAGAAGAAAGGCGCUCUGCUGCUCACUCACAGAGAAAUAUUCACGAAAGGAUAGGCCCCCAGAGAGGUCAACACAAUGAGGACCGUGAAGAAAGGCGCUCCGCUACUCGCUCUCGAAGAACCAACUCUCGUCGCCAAGCUAUUGAAAAUCCUUCGCAAGCGCAGUCCACCAACACGCCGCCUAGACAGCGCAACCGAGAAGGUCGACCCUCGCAAGCCAAUGACGAAGUCAAUCAGCAUCGUCUAAAUCGCGAAGGUCAUCAACGUGACCGACUAGCCAUGCGUGCAGAAGACGUUGAGAAGCUUGUGAAUAACCGACUUCGAGACUUAAAAAUUGGCGGAAAUUUUGAAGAUGCACUACGCAUUGAGGUAGACCAAGCAAACUCCUCACAUUUCACUGCCAAAAUCGAGCAGGCUGCUCCCCCAAAAAGAUUCUCAAUGCCCUCUUUCACAUGCUUCAAAGGCGAUUCCGACCCUGAAAGUCAUCUGAAGCAUUUCAAGAGCCUUAUGAUCCUUUACAAAGCCGAAGACGCGCUAAUGUGUAAGGUGUUUGCAAUGACUUUGCGAGGAGCAGCUCAAGAUUGGUUCCAUACCCUGCUAUCCGAGUCGAUCAACAGCUUCAAUGAGCUUACUUACGUCUUCACUAAAGAAUACACUUCUUAUCGGACGAUCAAGAAGAACCCUGACCAUCUGUUCAACCUGCGCAAGAAGCCUGAGGAAUCCCUUCGAGAUUACAUCAAGAGGUUCAAAGCAGAAAAGGCCAACAUCGUAGGGUGCGAUGACCAAAUCGCAUCCUCUGCAUUCAAGAAAGGUCUUCCAGCAUAACAUGACUUAUACCGCGAGCUGACUAUCACUCCCAGCCAGACUCUAGCAGAGGUCUUUGCGACCGCAGAAUGCUACACACUCUGGGAUGACGAUCGAAUCGCCGCGAAGAAGUCCACUGAGCAGGAAGAUCGACCGGCUAAACGGGCAGAACAAAGAGGCGACAGGCUUGGCAGCAGGGACAAAGACAAAGGCAGGUCACGCCCACAAAGAGAGGCCACGACGAAAGAGAACUACACCAAGUUCUCUAUCCCCAUACAUCAAAUUCUAGCCCAAGUGAAGAACAAACCUUGGGUAAAAAGACCGCCACCCUUGAAAGGAGAUCCAGACAAGAGGGAUACCAGAAAAUAUUGUGCCUUCCAUGCGACACAUGGGCACAAUACGAAUGAUCGCUUUGCUUGGAAAGCGCAUCUCGAAGAACUCGUAAGAGAAGGUCAUUGCACGGAGUUCAUCGCGAAGCAAGCCAUCCAGCAGAUAGAAGACCGCGAUACCGCCAAGGAUCCACCGCAGAAGGUCAUAAGGAUUAACACAAUCCUAGCCGACUCCGAGGAGUCCGGACUGACCAACAAAGAAAAGAAGAGGAAGAUCAAACAGGCUACCAUGAUCUCCCAAGUCUCAACUAGUUUCUCACUGGCAGAAGACGAUCCCGUGAUCGGCUUUCAAAAGAAAGACUUAAUCGGCCUGGAUCUACCGCACAACGAUGCCCUUGUCAUCAGCAUUCAAAUCGCUCAGGCCAUGGUCGACCGAGUCCAUGCAGAUGAGGGCAGUGCAGCCAACAUCCUACAAUUGGCAGUCGUCCAACAUAUGGGCUUAGAGGCAAAGAUCAAUAAAUCAGCCAAGUCCCUGACUGGUUUCAAUGGCGCAACGACGGUUACCGUGGGCACGAUAGAUCUCGACGUCUACUCUCCACCUGUAAUCAGCUCGCAAACGUUCAUGGUCAUUAAUGAGAUCUCACCCUACAAUGGCAUUCUAGGCAGACCAUGGAUCGGCCAGAUCAACGCCAUCACUUCUGCCACACAUCAGAAGAUUCGCUACCCAAUCCCUGGGGGCGGUAUCGGCCAGAUCAACAGCGAUCAAGCAAUGGCAAGAAAAUGCUCAGCUCAAGGGCUGAAGAAAAGCAAGCAAACACAGUUCCUCCCUGUGAAUCAGGCAGAUCUAAAGGGAGUAGAACAAGCAGAGGAAAAAGCGGAUCCCGUUCCUAACGGCCGAGUAGACCAGAAAGGAAAGGGAAUAGCUACUCCCCAAUAGCAAUCAAAGAAUCAGGACCAAGUCGAGGGAAUCCGUCCGGAGGUCUCUCCUGAAGAAGGAUGGAAGCCCGAAGAGGACGUUGAGCUAGUACCCCUUGAUCCUGACAAGCCAGAGAGAAAAGUGCGGAUCGACUCGCGCCUAAGCCAUGAGGAAAAGAUAGAGCUUGCAGCCUUCCUCCGGAACAACAAAGACGUAUUUGCAUGGUCGCCAUCAGACAUGCCUGGCAUCGAUCCCCAGAUAAGCCAUCAUUGAAACCGAGAUCGAUAAGCUUCUAGCUGCUGGUUUCAUCGAAGAAGUCUCCUACGCAGAAUGGCUGGCGAACAUUGUUCUAGUGGCAAAAAAAGAUAAAGGUCUGUGGAGAGUGUGCGUCGACUACACUGACCUCAACAAGGCAUGCCCUAAAGACAACUUUCCACUACCUAGAAUUGAUCGGCUCGUCGAUUCAACUUCCGGCAACCAACUGCUAAGCUUCGUGGCGCCUACUCUGGCUACAACCAAAUCAUGAUGCAUGAAUAUGACAAGGCUAAAACCUCUUUCAUCAUCGAAAGAGGUACAUACUGCUACAAAGUCAUGCCCUUUGGGCUGAAGAACGCCGGAGCAACCUACCAAAGGCUGGUGAACAAAAUUUUCAAGGAGCAAAUCGGCAAGACUAUGGAGGUCUACGUAGACGACAUGCUAGUCAAAGCUCCUGAGCGAGCAGACCACAUCAAGAACCUUGCCGAGGCAUUCAGCCUACUCCGAAAAUACAACAUGAAGUUGAACCCGAGUAAAUGCACGUUUGGAGUCUCGUCCGGCCGAUUCCUGGGAUACUUAGUCACCCAAAGAGGAAUUGAAGCACAUCCAAAUCAAAUCAAGGCUAUACUCAACAUGAAGUCACCUGCCACAACAAAGGAGAUACAAAGUCUAACGAGUAGGGCGGUAGCCCUCAACCGAUUCCUCUCAAAAUCUACCGACAAGUGCAGACCACAUCAAGAACCUUGCCGAGGCAUUCAGCCUACUCCGAAAAUACAACAUGAAGUUGAACCCGAGCAAAUGCAUGUUUGGAGUCUCGUCUGGCCGAUUCCUGGGAUACUUAGUCACCCAAAGAGGAAUUGAAGCACAUCCAAAUCAAAUCAAGACUAUACACAACAUAAACUCAUGAAAUGGGCUAUCGAACUCAGUCAAUACGACCUCCUCUACCGGCCGAAGACUGCUAUAAAAGCCUAAGCUUUAGCAGAUUUUGUUGUAGAGUUUACUCCGACAGCCGAAGAAGAGAAGAUGGCCACGAAAAGCAAGGAAAAAGCAGACGACACCUCCCCUGCCGAUUCAAACCUACCUAACGACAUGUGGCAAUUGCAUGUAGACGAAGCAUCAAAUCAUAAAGGAUCAGGGGCAGGCGUCGUCAUAAUCACCCCAGACGGAACCUUGUUGGAACAAGCCAUCACAAUAGGCUUUUCUGCUUCAAACAACGAGGCAGAAUAUGAGGCAUUGCUCGCAGGACUGCGCCUAGCAAAAGAACUGACGAUCAAGAGAUUAGCCAUCUACUCAGACUCCCAGCUGAUCACGAAUCAAGCCUCAGGCGAGUAUAUGGCAAAGCAUCCAAGAAUGAUCCAGUACCUUGACAAAGUCCAAGGACUUCUGAAAGAAUUUCCUACUUUCACCAUCCAACAAGUUCCACGGACAGAGAACACUCAUGCAGAUGCGUUGGCAAGCCUAGGAUCAGCACUGGCACCCAGUUCAGACGCUCCAUCCCAGUUGAACACCUUGACCGACCAAGCAUCGAAGAAAUAGAGCCAAUCGACUCAAUGCAGAUCGAUGAAGACCCCAGCUGGCAAGACCCCAUCAUCGACUACCUAGUGAAUGGAAAUCUGCCAACGGAUAAGUCCGAAGCUAGGAAGGUCCAACAGAAAGCCGUGAGAUAUUACAUGCAGGGCGACAAGCUCAUUCGCAGAUCAUACUCCGGCCCUCAUCUCACUUGCAUAAAGUACCCUCAAACACUUGAGGUCCUUUGCAAAAUUCAUGACGGCGAGUGUGGCAACCACUCUGGGGGCAGGUCACUCGCCCAGAAGGCUCUAAACGUAGGCUAUUUCUGGCCUACUAUGCGCCAUGACUCCACUGAAUAUGUCAAAAGAUGUGAUCGCUGCCAACGGUACAAACCAGUUCCUAAUCUGCCCGCUAAAAUCUACCAUCUGCAGAACAGUCCAUGGCCUUUCAUGCAAUGGGCCAUCGACUUAGUAGGCCUCAUGCCAACGGCACCUGCCAAGAAAGAAAUGAUGAUCGUCGCCACCGAUUACUUUACUAAAUGGAUCGAGGCCGAAGCUCUAUCCUCUACUAAAGAAGAUGAUGUGGAACGAUUUAUCUGGAGAAACAUUAUCUGCCAGUUUGGCUACCCACAAUCACUAGUUACCGACAAUGGCUCGCAAUUCAUCGGCAAGCAGAUCACUGCCUUCUUCAAAAAGUACGGCAUCAAGCAGCAUCUAUCUACCCCAAGAUAUCCUCAAGGCAACGGCCAGGCCGAGGCAUCCAAUAAAAUAAUAUUGGACUGUCUAAAGAAAAGAUUAGAAGGCGCCGAAGGAAAAUGGGUAGAUGAGUUCCCUGGCGUACUAUGGGCUUAUCGCACCACUAAGCGAAGAUUAACUGGUGAAACCCCGUUUUCCCUUGCCUAUGGAACAGAAGCGAUCAUUCCUCCUCACAUCACUGUCCCCUCAAUAGGCAUCGAAGUGGGCAGUAUUGAGCAGAACUCCGAGCAGAUGAGACUCAACCUUGACUUACUUGAAGGCGAGCGCGAGAAGGCCAUUGUCCGAGUCGCCUCCUAUCAACAGCGGUUGAAGUCUUACUACGACAAAAGAGCCAAGAUCAGACAAUUUCAACCAGGCGACCUUGUCCUAAGAAAGGCCUUCAUCACUGCACAAAGACAAGGAUCUAAAAAGAUGAAACCCAAUUGGGAAGGCCCUUACAUAAUCAGCCGGUCCGGGGGCAGAGGAAGCUAUACGCUUGACACCAUGGAAGGGAAGGAGAUUCCGCUACAAUGGAACGCCUACCAUCUCCAAAGAUACUAUCCAUGACGCUUCCUCCUACCUGCUCAGUCCCCAGCAGACGACUGAGUACUGCACAUUUCUGAAGAAGAGAAGCAACUACUGCAAAUUCCAGAAUGUGCCACAACAAAAGACAGUUGCCCAUAAGUAGCGUCCUUCGGGAGACGCAGGGCAACAACUAGAAGCGUCUUUCGGGAGACGCAGCCCGCAAAGAAGCGUCCUAAGGGAGACGCAGGGUGCGCCAGGAAUUUCCUAAGGGAGGUAUCCAGGUUCCUAUCCGUUUCCUAAGAGAGGCAGGAUAGCCAAACAAUUGCCCAUAAAAAGCGUCCUAAGGGAGACGCAGGGCGACGACCAAAAGCGUCCUUCGGGAGAUGCAGCCCGCAAAGAAGCGUCCUAAGGGAGACGCAGGGUGCGCUAGGAAUUUCCUAAGGGAGGUAUCCAGAUUCCUAUCUGUUCCCUAAGGAGGGCAAGAUAGCCAAAGAGUUGCCCAUAAAAAGCGUCCUAAGGGAGACGCAGGGCAACAACCAAAAGCGUCCUUCGGGAGACGCAGCCUGUAAAACAGCGUCCUAAGGGAGACGUAGGGUGCGCCAGGAGUUUCUUAAAAGGGGGUCACCAUGCUCUCUGCGGGAAAUAUCCAGGUUCCUAUCCGUUUCCUAAGGGAGGCAGGAUAGUCAAAAAGUUGUCCAUAAAAAGCGUCAUUCGGGAGACGCAGGGCGAUGACCAAAAGCGUCCUUCGGGAGACGCAGCCCACAAAGCAGCAUCCUAAGGGGGUUGCAGGGUGCGCCAGGAAUUUCCUAAGGGAGGUAUCCAGGUUCCUAUCCGUUUCCUAAGGGGGGCAGGAUAGUCAGACAGUUGUUCAUAAGCAGCGUCCUAAGGGAGACGCAGGGCAACAACCAGAAGCGUCUUAAAGCGUUUUCUGGAAAAAUGCAGAAUACGCCGGAGUCCCUCAAGGGGGACCUUGGCUUUUGCCGAAAUUCCAAGGGAAAUACACAGCAGGACACUAACCGGUUACUCAAGCAGUUCACAAGACAAUGUGCAAAUUGAAGUUGAAAAAAUAAAUACUGAAAUUUCCAUAGUAAAGCGACCAACUGGCCAAGUUCAAACAAAAAGAAGAUGGUCAAAAUAAGACCAAUUAUUCUAAACAAAAAGCAGACUACAAAAGCUGAAAAGAAAUAAAGAAGUCUUCUUCUACUCCGAAGUGCCAGCAGGAGACCCCUGAUCUGCAGCCUCUUCAGUGUCCACCUGAUCAGCCACGCUCUCAGCAGCUCCACAUGCAUGAUCCAUGACGUCUGCCGCCACCUCAUCAGCUGCAUCAUCCUCUGCUCCAUCUUCUUCAGCUACUGCCUCUUCAGCCACCUGCUCUUCAGCCCCUUCGGUGUUCGCAGCAUUAGCCUCCUCACCUCGCACAAGGGGCAAGUCAGGAUAGAGCAUCUCGAUGUCUUCAUCUCUAAUGGCAUAGAAGGGAUCAUAUCCAAUUGUGCAGUCUAAGUAGCCCAACUUGUACGCAUCCAUGAUAGCUUCCUACUUGGAUUCUUCAGCAGACUUAUGAUAGGAGUGAAAUCUAGCCAAAAGCUUGUCAUAACUAUGAGAGAUGUCGGCGUUCUUGCGCUCAAGGCGAAAAUAAGCAUCUUUUCGACUUGCCAAGUCAACAGCAGAAGAGCUGAGCUCGGAAUCUUUCUCAGUAAGGGAACUCUUCAGCUCAGAUAUCAUCGCCCACAAAUCAGACGUCUUCUUCUCAUAACGAGUCUGCUCGGCAGAAAGCUUGCUAGCCAGCUCAGCAUUCUUCUUCUCCAACUCACUAAGCUGAGCAGAAGAGGGGGCAACAGCAGACGACGAGUUCCGGAUGGUCCCCGCAGCAAAAACCACUCCUUUUUGAAGCAGAUGAAAUGUCGCUUCUCUUUGUUUUUCCAAGGAAAGACUUGAAAAAGUACCGAGAUCACCAGCCUGACGGACUUGAUCAACCAGCUCAGCACAAGUGGAUGGACUUGAUAGAAAGUGCGUCUUGAGCAGAUCAGACACGCCCGCAUCCCCUGUAGGGCUAGGCUUGUCCACCUUUGGAUCAGCCGCUGAUGUCGCAGAAGAACUUUUUCCCCGAGCAGAUGACUCUCUUGCUUUCUUAGCCUCUGCCAACCUUACUUCCUAAGGAACUGACGACGAUGAAUCAACUCCACGCUUGACUGCUUGUGACUCAACAGUUGGAUCAUGAUGGUUGGAUGGAUGAGCAGACCUCGCACAUCGACCUCCACUCUUCGGCUGGUGCAAACGACCCGAACGUCGGAGAGGAAAAUCAGCAUCUCUUGGCUUCUCAACAGGUGACCUGGACCGUGCACGAACUACGUCGCGGAGCAGAUCACGAUCUCCAAACUCAUCAGCAAGAGGCUUAAGGGGAACAUCCCUAAUGUUGCGCAUACCACCAAUUUUCUUGCUAUCAGCACCAACAAGAUGUUUGACUCUGGCAAAUGACGUGGGAAUAGCUCCUACUUGGGUUUUCUCAGCAGAAGGGAACCUUGGCUUCUUCCUCAACGGAGACACAUUCCUCGCCCGCAAAGAAGUAGCUGGAGUUCUCGAAGACUUGACAUCGGCCUUCCUUUUUGGUGGGGGUUCAGCAAAGCAUUCAUCCUGUUCAGCAGAUAGAUCAUCAGGGUCCGGACCACUAUGCUUCCAUCUCUCGACAUCCUCGGCAGGGGGCAGACCACCAUCUUCCUCCCGAUACUCGCUCAACAGCCAGCGCCACUCACGAAACUUUUGGGGAAUGUUCAAAGCACGGCGGACCUUAGCCAUGUCAGGCCCAAGCUCCAAUUGCUUGCUGAUGUCACUCACUACAAGCAGAAGACAGAAGUUAGUCAGCCACACUUGAAGAAACUCAAAUAAAAAGAAAACAGAUCAUAAAUCACAAAAAGACACACCAUAGCAAUAAGUGAUAGGAACAAGGGGGCCGUCGCCAACGUCUCCCUCCCAGCGUCCGCUAACUUCCAACAAGUCGUCAUGCCAAGCGUGAUCUCCUUGACUAAGACCGUCGAAUAGCCUGGACCUGUAGAUGGGAACCUGGGCAUACUGCUCGAAGUGCCUCACUUCAAAAAAAUGAAAGAACUCUCGCACCGUCAACUCCAGUGUAAAGAAACGGCUCAGAUUCUCGAAGCACAUGAUCGCCCGGUAAACAUUGGGAGUACUCUGGCUUGGAGCACACCCCAUGGCGCAGAACACCUCCUUGAAGAGCUUCGACAGCGGGAAUUUGAAGCCCAGUGAAAAAUAAAAAGGACGGAAGGUAAUGAUCCUAGCACCAGGAUCAUCCGCAUCCUCGAAAGAAUCGUUAUUAGUCCGAGACCUCAAUAGCUUGACCUGCACGUCAUCUGGAAUGGCAGAAGCGAAAGCAGCCCGCCAUUUUUGGAACUGAGCGUCGGUCGUGACUCGGUGCAAGUUGGCCACGAACUUCUUGCUAGGCACUACGGAACCUCCCCACAAAUACAAAGGCACCUGAGAGCUUGGAGCCUUGCUACCGUCUCUGAAAGACAUGGUUGGUCAAUGAACAACUACAAGAAGAGAAGAAAAUUCUACAAGUUAGAAUCCCAAAAAAAAAAAAAAAAAAAAAAAAAAAAAAGGGGCUGGCAGAAGAAAAAAAAAAACAAAAAAAAGAAGGCAACCCAACAUGAGCAGCCCGUCAAUUCCUCCAGCCCAGCACGCAGGCAGCCCAGUCCUCCAGCUCUUGCACGCAAGGCCCGCCUGCUUGGCGCAGGCCCAAGUCGCGCAGCUCGCCUCUUCCUCGCCCAUCUCGCCAGCGCGCCUUCGGCCCAAGCCCUAGCUCGACAGCCCAGCGCGAGCAGCCUGCUCGCCCAGCGGAAGCCCUUCGCGCGCAAGGCCCAGCGCCUUUUCUGCCUCAGCUCCGAAGCCCAGCAUGCGCCUCCUUCUGACUUGGGCUUGGCUCCUCCACGCCCUUGCUUCCGGCCCAGCACGCAUAUGCUCCAGCCCAGGCCAUGUAGCUCCAAGACCAGCAUGCACAUCAUGCUCCAUCUGAUCCCAGCAUCAAUUCCCCAGCUAUUUGGCAGCUAUUGCUCACGAAUUGCAACUCAUGCUGGACCAUCUCCUUGCUGCCAAAAAAUUAAAAAAAUAUAUAUAUACAUACAUAUAUAUUUUUACGGGCUCGACUUACUUGGGAUGCACGGCAACUCCUCUCCUCAACAAGCAGUACAAAUUCUCCAAAAUCUUUCUCAAGCCAGAAGGUAGAGAAGUUAAGUUUGUGAUAUGAGAAAGAGUGAAGAGAAGCCCUGUAUUUAUACAGGUUGGACAACCCGGGUCAAGAAGGAAUCACAAACUCAUUCCUACUGGGAAUCCAACUCCAACAACAGUCAGAAGCCUACACCAAUUGGAAAUCCAAUCUGCGAAGGAGUCCAACUCACAUAAUAAAGCCCAGACACAGUUGGAGAGCCCGAAAAAAAUAAUUUCAUCUCCUACAUGCCACACAAGCGCCAUGCAGAAGCUGGGGGCAUUUGUGGGAGCAUAUAUUUUCGUCUCCAAUCAGGGCACGCCACGUGGAAAAGAAGAUUAUCUCUUUAAUUAAUUAAUUAAAUCAGUUUAUCUGGCUAAUUAAUUAAUUGGGAUAAAUAUCUUAAUUAAUAUGAUAUUAUCUUUAUUUAAAGAGAUAAUAUCAUUAAUUAAGAUAUUAUCACAAUAAAGAGAAGAUAAUAUCAUUUAAAUCAGAUAUUAUCUUCUUAAGAGAUAAUGUCUAUUUAAUUCAGAUAUUAUCAGGCCCAAUUCGAUUCCUACGAAACCCUAGCCCCGAGGCUCCUAUAAAUAGACGACCUCAUUCAUCAUUCAAGGUACAUCUAAACCUACUCCUUAUACCCGAGAAAAAUACCCGAAGCUCUCUCUCCCUCUCCACUCUCCAUAUUUCCUCCUCACGGCUCCGGCCACCCGGUUUACACCCUACAUAAAACUCCGUACCCUUUGCUUAGCUAUUGUUUUCCUACAAACACUCGAACUAACUUAGGCAUCGGAGGGCCUUUGGCCAACACCCCCCGGGUGUGGUCUAUUUACUCCAGUCUAUUUUACAGGAAUCGAGGAAGAGAGAGAAGGAAGAUCGAAGGUUGAAGGAUCUAGAAGCGAAUAUUCUCCCGUGAGAUUAUUUGCACAAACAGAGCUGUUUUGGAAUUUGCCAAGCAUCGAUAACUCCUUCCAGUAAAUGUUGUGUGAUAUAGGUACCUGGACAGAGUUGUUCACAAAUUCAAUAAGACAGAACCUGAAACAACUUCAAAAUUGCAGAUAACCAAGAACUUGGAACUGACCUGCUCAUCUUGCAAUGAAACCCUCUGCAACAGAGGAGAUGUGCGCUUUAGAGUUUUCUUUUAGUUCAUAUUAGUGCAUAAUCUCACCGCCACGUUUGGACUCCAAUUUCAACUGCUUUUCUGCUUCCUGAAAGUCAUGUGAAACCUCAAAUUCCUUGUUAGUACGUUGGUAACAGACUCAUUGAUAGCCCAGGGGAUCCGGAUAGUUGUGUGAAAAUCUUACCUUCUUCAUCAUUGUCUCUUUCUUCCAUGUUUAUAUGCCUUUCAUUAAAGCUUUUGUUGCUGUACCACCCAGAACUCAGAAGAAUAUCUAAUAAGAUUAUUGGGAGUGUAUGAGGCGAGAGAGAGAGACGACGAUGAGAUUGAAAAAGACGAGACGUUGCGUGUUAUGUUUAGGAUUUAGAAAAGGGCCUGCGCAAGAGAGAAGGGCCUGGGCUGCAAAAAAUACAACAUUAAAUGGAUUUUGCAUUAUGAAAUCACUAAAGUAACCACUAAUAAGUAACAAAUAAUAAAUUAAUAAAUUAAUAUUUUAAAUAAAAAAAAUAUUAUACUAUUUGUUUAAUAUAAAAUUUAUAUAUCCUUUUGUUUUUCAUGAUUUUGGUAUAAAUUUAUAAUUUAUAAUACUAAAUAAUUUUCGCUUAGGCUCGGAUUACUCCUCUAGGUGCUAGUUCCGUGCUUGACGCCCCCUUACUGCAUAGUGAUUUUUUGAACAUUGGGAUUAACAUGUUGGUAAAUCGAGGUUUAUUAGCACUCUAAUUUACAACCCUGCAAUUUUAACUGACUCCAAUUCCCUUCUGUUUGUGUUCAUAAUUAACUAAAACUUAGUUGCAGUGCAUCGUGUUUAGAUUUAACUUUUCUGGUAUAAUUUUUCACAAAACUAUAAACAAAGAAGCAAUUUCGUCAGUUCUCAAUUGAUUGUGCAGUGACUAUAUGUCUCUGGAGUAUGCCAUGAACAGGACGUUUUCCGAAAAAUCUAAUGGCCAUAGCUUCGGGGUCUUGCAAUUGGAGAUUAUUAGUGGCAAAAAGAAUACCAGCUAUAUUGGGGUCAAAAUCCCUACAGACCCUUUGGUUUCCCAAAUCAUGAAGGGUUGAACACUUUUUAUUUAUUUUUAACAAAACCAAGAGAGAACAAGAGAGAAAUAAGAAAGAAAGUGGAAGGGGAAAGAGAGACAACUACAUAAGAUAGAACAAGAGAAGAAAAAAUAAAGAGGAAAGAGAAGGAGAGAAUCGGAGAGGGGAGUGGAGAGGAAGAAAAUCAGUGAGAGAAAAAGGGAGGAGGGAAGAACAAAUAUAAAUGGGAAACAUUAAAAAAAAUAUUUGGGCUGCAGAGGCGUGGAGAUGUGAUGGGCAAAAUGCUUUGGGUAGAGCAAAUGGCAAAAACAAAGAAGUAAAAUAAUCAUGCUAACCCACCAAACCCUUCGGAAAAGAAAUUUUUUUUUUUUUUUAAAUUACAAGGAAAUAAUUCAAAAUUUAAAUUCUAGAAUUCAAUUACAAAGAAAUAAUGUAUUAAAUUUAGAUUUUUAAUGUGUUUUCCUUAUUUACCUCAAAGGGUAAAAUUGACACAACAAAAAAAGUAAUAAAUGUCCAAGGAUCUACAUCUAAAACCAAAGACGCAAGGACUAAACCCAAUGACAGUUAAUCUUUUUGGACCUAUAUCUAAGAAGCCUUUAUUUUAAUAAGUAUAUAUAUAUAUAUAUAUAUAUAUAUAAACUCCUAAGUUGUCCAAUGCAAAGUCAAUAUGUAUAUGUCACAUCUCGAGAUCGGCUCCGCCGUAGCACGAUAUUGUCCGCUUUGGGCCCCUCCCCUCUGGCCCUCACGGUUUUGUUUCUGGGAGCUCAUGACCAACUUCCCAGUGGGUCACCCAUCUUGGGAUUGCUCUGGCCCCCAACUCGCUUAACUUCGGAAUUCCUACGACUCCGAAGCCAGUGAGCUCCCAAAAGGCCUCGUGUUAGAUGGAUGCGGGUGUGCACAUAUAAGGCACAUCACCCCCCCUCUCCGUUGGUCGAUAUGGGAUCUUACAGUAUAGUAUUUCAGAAUUUUGGGAGGGCCAAGUCCCUUGCAAGCCUAAGCACACCUCCGCCAUUGCAUAUUAUUAUCGCCAACAAAUCGUUCUGAUAUGUUGAUAGUUCUGAUUAAUUUGACAACAAGAGGUCCCGAUGUAUGAAUUUUGACAUAACUAAGUUUAAUUGGUCGAAAAUGUUGACUAGUUGUUUGGAUCCAGUGUAAGUUUAAUUUGCUAAUGUUUCCAUGUUAUAAGUUUGGUAAUAUGAGAUGUUAUAUUGUUAGUAUAUAUCCCUUUAUUAAUCUAACCCAACUAAUGUAAUGAAGAAACAAUGGUUUGUCAAUUAAAAUUUAUUCUUUUGUGAUAAUUGAUGAUAAAAUAUAAAUAAAAAGAAGUUAUUCAUUAAAAUAUGUCUGACCCAUUGCCAGAGAAUCAAUUGAUUAAUUUCUCAUGAGACAUAUAUGACAACUGUGGCCAUACAAUUUGAAUAUUGGAUGUUUCAAUUUAUUAUUAUUAUUUUUUGUUAAUAUAGCAAUUGGUCUAUUUAAAUAAUGGCAAAAGAAAGAUUAACAUGUGUUUUUAAAACGACUUUGAUUUAAUGACUUGAUAAAUUAAAUGGGUAGGAAGAGAAGAGACAAAGCAAAACUUAACAAUCUAGCAAGUCUGAUUAAUUAGUUAACAAGUCUAUUACAUAUGUUAAUUUUCUUUCUAUGUUUAUCUUCCUUGACGUUUUUGUACUUUUGUAGUUGUCAACAUUUUCUAGAAAAGUCAUCACUUUCAAGAAACUUUGUGUUCAAAUUGUCCGCGAUUGGGACCUCGAGUGCAUGGGUGAAUACGCUUGGCCAGUUGAGCUAUAAGUCUCUUGUCAAACUGUAUACUUUUAUGUAUUCUUGCAAGGAUCUCUGCCAAACAUCACUUCAAUCUGAAUUCAUUUGAACACUCAAUUGAGUGGUUGUUAUUUUAUUGUUUUCUUAAAGAAUCUUGUUUGUCUAUUUUGUUGGUCACAAUUAGAUGUCUUAAAGGCUUUAAAUUUGUCUUCUUUUUUGCAAGAGUGAUCUACAAAUAUGAUAUGAUAGAUGGUUUGAAUCAUUGUACUAAAAUUUGCAUGAGAUACCAUGACUUUAAAUUUGUCUCUCGCAUAUUGGGGUGGUGAGAAAAAAAAUCCAUGACUUUUUCGCUACCUGUCUGUCGCAUAUUUGUCUUUCUCUACCUCUGCAGACCUUUUUUUUUGGGGGUCAAAAUCUCUACAGUUUCCCAAAUCAUGAAUGGUUGAACACUUUUUAUUUAUUUUUAACAAAACCAAGAGAGAACAAGAGAGAAAUAAGAAAGAAAGUGGAAGGGAAAGAGAGACAGCUACAUAAGGAGAUCAAGAGAAGAAAAAAUAAAGAGGAAAGAGAGGAAAAGAAUCGGAGAGGGGAGAGGAGAGGAAGAGGAAGAGGAAGAAAGUCAGUGAGAGAAAAAGGGAGAAGGGAAGAACAAAUAUAAAUGAGAAACAUAAAAAAAAAAAAUAUUUGGGCUGCAGAGGCGUGGAGAUGUGAUGGGCAAAAUGCUUUGGGUAGAGCAAAUGGCAAAAACAAAGAAGUAAAAUAAUCAUGCUAACCCACCAAACCGAUGUGACCACUUCGGGAGCAAAUGGCAAAAACAACGAAGUAAAAUACAUUUAUAUAAAAUUUUGGGGCCCUUUUAAUUGGAGGCCCAUGGCCGUCGCCCUCCGUGCUCAUGCCUCAGGCCCGGCCCUGAAAAUCACAUAUAUAUCUCUUAAAAGAGAUGACAGAUUGAAAAUAAUAUAUAAAUUCACGUAACAUUUUUUUAAAUUUUCCUAUAAGAUAUGUAUUUCGGUUGUAUUUAAUUACCCUCUCGUCAUAAACUGCUGCUAUUUAAUUUACAAAUAUUUUCUAUACAGGCUACACCUACACUGCAGCCACACGAUAUAAAAGCUCCCACGUUACCUUCUAAAUGCCAUAGUUGACUUGCAACCUGUAAAGAUUGAGAAAUCUUUGGUGAAUUUCUCUUACAAUCUUGUGCGCAGAGCAAGCAAAGCAAUGGGUAGCUGCUUGUCAAUCUCCUUAUCAUGCGAUGCCAUUGUUUCACGCUGCUGGGAUUCCGUUUUUGGAAGAGUACGGUAUGUACGUAAGCUCCAAGAAAACCUUCAAGCUCUCACAACUUCUUUACAAGAACUCAAGUCUUUAAAGAAUGAUGUGCAGAGAGAAGUUGAGCUUGCAGAGCGACAGCCGCGAUUAAGGCGGUUAGAGCUGGUAAAUAACUGGAUCUUAAGCGUGGAGGCUCUUGAGACUGAAAUAAACGAAGUUAUUGUAAGCCAUAGCACUCAAGAAAUUGAGAAAUUAUGCUGCGGAGGUUACUGCUCCAAGAACUACAGAUCCAGCUACAAGUAUGGAAAAAAAGUUGCUAGAAAGUUGGUGGAAGUGGAGGAUUUGAAAAGCAAGGGAGUUUUUGAAGAGGUGGCAGCAGAAAGCUUACCUACAGCUCUAGUCGAUGUGAUACCUAGUGAGCCAACAGUGGGCAUGGAGCCGAUUUUUGAUCAGGUUUGGAGACACGUUGAAAAUGAACAAGUGGGAAUGAUUGGCUUAUAUGGAAUGGGAGGGGUGGGGAAGACCACCCUCCUUACUCAGAUCCAUAACAACUUCAACCGCACUCGUAAUGAUUUUAAUCUUGUGAUCUGGAUUGUGGUAUCCAAGGGCCACAAAAUUGAAGUUAUUCAAGAUAAGAUUGGUGAAAAGAUUGGGCUGUCUAGUGGUGUAUGGAAGCUUAAAAUGCAGCAUGAAAAAGCUGAAGACAUCUUCAGAAUCUUGAACACAAAGAAGUUUGUGUUAUUAAUGGAUGAUUUAUGGGAGCCGGUUGAAUUAACCAAAAUAGGGGUUCCAGCUCCUGACAGUCGGAACAAGUUCAAGAUAGUUUUCACAACUCGCUCUGAGGAGGUAUGUGGUCAUAUGGAUGCCCAGAAGAAGAUUAAGGUGGGGUGUUUGACUUGGGACAAAGCAUGGAACUUGUUUCAGGAGAAGGUUGGGAAAGAAACACUUCUUCUUCAUCCAGAUAUCCCCAAGCUUGCUGAAAUUGUGGCGAACGAGUGUGGCGGUUUGCCACUGGCACUCAUCACAGUGGGCAGGGUCAUGGCCUGCAAGAAAACACCCCAAGAGUGGAAGCGUGCAGUUCAAGUCCUGAGAAGAUUUGCCUCCGAGUUUUCAGGAAUGGGAGAUAAGGUAUUCCCUCUUUUAAAAUUCAGUUACGAUAAUUUACCAAGUCAGAAAGUUAGAUCAUGUUUCUUAUACUGUGCUCUGUUUCCGGAAGAUUUUGUCAUACUUAAAGAUGACUUGGUAUAUUUUUGGAUGUGUGAGGAUAUAUUAGAUGAAUAUGGUAAUGUAGAGGAAGCCAAAAAUGAGAGUUACCAUAUCAUAGGAACUCUUCUUACCUCAUGUUUGUUGGAAGAUGAAGGAGAUUCAGUAAAAAUGCAUGAUGUAAUUCGUGACAUGGCAUUGUGGUUAGCUUGUGACCUUGGGAAAGAAGGUGAGAACAUCCUUGUGGAUACAGGUGCUUAUAAUGCACCACAUGUUGCGAAAUGGAAGAACGCGAAAAGGGUUUCAUUGAUGGGUAGUGGUAUCAAAUGUCUAGAUGAAACACCAACAUCUCCCAAUCUGUUGACCCUAUUUCUCAGAGGAAGCCAUUUAAAGAUGAUUGUCGAUGACUACUUUGAUUUCAUGCCCACGCUACGAGUUUUGGAUUUGUCUGAAAAUGUCCUUUUAACUCAACUGCCAACUGGAGUUGCAAGUCUAGUUUCAUUACAACAUCUGAAUUUGUCCAAAACAGCCAUAAAAUGGUUGCCGGUGGAGAUAAUGGCAUGUGCAGGCCUAAAGUAUUUGAACUUAGAGCAUACAUUUAAGCUUGAUUAUGUUCCACCAAAUUUAUUAUCAAGUUUUCCGCUGCUUGAAGUUUUGAGAAUACUAGAUUGUGGUUCUUCUGACCGAAUUUUUUUUCAUAGUGAGGAAACCAUGAUAGACGAACUGCAGGGUUUGAAACACCUUGACGUCUUGUCUUUGACAGUUGGAAGUAGCUCUUGUUUCGAGAAUUUGGACAGCCACCACAUAUUAGUGACUUGCACUCUAACUUUAUGCCUCAAGGGCGAGGAUUACGGGAACCCUUCAAGCUAUCUUGAUUUAUCACCUGUGGCGAUGGCAAAUAUGAAACACUUUGAUACCCUUCAAAUUAAACGUAUGGUGGAUGUGUACUCCACGUGGAUAACACGUCUGGAAAAUCCGACUUGCUUCCUUGGUCUUCAGUUCGUAGAAGUAGUAGAUUGCACGAAUCUCAAGAACCUGGAAUGGCUCGUUUUUGCUCCAAAUCUCAUCCACUUGCAUGUAUAUGGCUGCUCAAAAAUGACGACAAUACUCGGUUUGAACACAACGGAAACUACCCCAUUUGCAAAACUGACUGUUUUGCGUUUGAGCAAACUACCCCACUUGUGGAGAAUAUGCGAAAAUCCCUUGCCCGUUCCAUUUAUGAAGAAAAUCCUUAUAUCCGGAUGUCCAGUGCUCACUAGGCUGCCUCUCAACUCUAGCAGUGCUCAAACAAGUAAUCUCAUUAUUGAAGGAGAGGAUGAGUGGUGGAAUGGCUUAGAGUGGGAAGACCAAGCGGCUCGAAAUGCUUUUCUUCCCUGCUUCAGACCCUGUAAGUGAGGAGGGGCUUCCCCCAAAUGUCCAUUCACCAGUUUAAUUGAUACACCUUUUUAUUCCAAUAGCAUUUAAGGCAAUGUAUUAUAGUCCGGCUCUGUAAAUGAUGUCUGAACUUUAAUAAUUACAUGAUUGUCAAUAUGUUAUCGCUAAUGCAUUGAUAUUAUCAAUGACGGAGCCAGGAUUUUAUAUGUGAAGGGGCCAAUAUAUUAGGGUUUAGGGUUGAUUCAGUUCCCAGUGUAAAUAAAUAAAUAACCGAUUAUCUUUAAUUUCCUAUUUUCUUAAAUAUACUUGUGAAAGAAAGACUUGAUUGGCUAUUUCUUUUAAUUUUUAUUAAUUAUGUUGGUGGGAUAUUCAAGAGUAACUUAGUCAUAUUGCUAAGAAAAGAGCUUUUUAGUUUGAGGUGGAAAUGUAAAUCCCUCAUUCUCUUUAUUGUGGGGGGCCACAAACAUUAUUUUAAUAGAAAAGUUGAUAUAGAUUCAAAUUCCUAUUGACUUUUGUGCCACAUAAAAUUACAUUCUUAUUUUAAUAUUUUAUGAUGUAAUCUUUAUAUUAUUUUAUUUUUAAAAUCAUUUUUUGUUCCAAUGUUGUCCCUUAUGACUUGAAUAAGUUACUAGUGAUUUAUGUCAUAUUGCCUAUUGCCUACUGCCUAUUGCAUAGGUAUAUAUAUAUAUAUAUAUAUUUUUUUUUUUUCAUAUUUUCGACAAUGUGUAAUAAUAUUUUAUGUACUUUUUUUUAUAGGUAACAUACAAUUUUAUUUUGUCUAUUUUUGCAUCUGACUUAUAGAUAGUCUUCUAAUUUAUGUUCCUAAUUUAUAGGUAACACGAUUUAUCACUAAGUAUUUUUCGUUGCUAAUAAUAACACUAUUUACCUGUAUGUUAGGUACAUAAUUUAAUAUGGGUGCUUGUCUGAUCGAUUAGUACAAUAUGUUGAAGUAUGGAUUUUGACACAACUAAGUUUAAUUGGUCGAAAAUGAUGACUAGUUGUUUGGAUCCAGCGUAAGUUUAAUUUGCUAAUGUUUCCAUGUUAUAAGUUUGGUAAUAUGAGAUGUUAUAUUGUUAGUAUAUAUCCCUUUAUUAAUCUAACCCAACUAAUGUAAUGAAGAAACAGUGGUUUGUCAAUUAAAAUUUAUUCUUUUGUGAUAAUUGAUAAAAUAUAAAUAAAAAGAACUUAUUCAUUAAAAUAUGUCUGACCCAUUGCCAGAAAAUCAAUUGAUUAAUUUCUCAUGAGAUAUAUGACAACUGUGGCUGGCCAUCCAAUUUCAAUAUUGGAUGUUUCAAUUUUUUAUUAUUAUUUUUUGUUAAUAUAGCAAUUGGUCUAUUUAAAUAAUGGCAAAAGAAAGAGUAACAUGUGUUUUUAAAACGACUUUGAACUAAUGACUUGAUAAAUUAAAUGGGUAGGAAGAGAAGAGACAAAGCAAAACUUAACAAUCUAGCAAGUCUGAUUAAUUAAUUAACAAGUCUAUUACAUAUGUUAAUUUUAUUUCUAUGUUUAUCUUCCUUGACGUUUUUGUACUUUUGUAGUUGUCAACAUUUUCUAGAAAAAUCAUCACUUUCAAGAAACUUUGUGCUCAAAUUGUCCACGACUGGGACCUCGAGUGCAUGAGUAAAUACGCUUGGCCAGUUGAGCUAUAAGCUUCUUGCCAAACCGUAUAUUUUUAUGUAUUCUUGCAAGGAUCUCUACAAAACAUCACUUUAAUCCGAAUCCAUUUGAAAACUCAAUUGAGUGGUUGUUACUUUAUUGUUUUCUUGAAGAAUCUUGUUUGUCUAUUUUGUUGGUCACAAUUAGAUGUCUUAAAAGGCUUUAAAUUUGUCUUCUUUUUUGCAAGAGUGAUUUACGAAUAUGAUAUGAUAGAUGGUUUGAAUCACUGUACUAAAAUUUGCAAGAGAUAAUGUGACAUAGUUUUCUCAUAACAUUCUGUAAUAGACUUGGAUUGCUCCUAAUAUAUUUCAACAAAUAACUUUCAUUUAGAAAUAUUCGCAGCCACCUUCCGCUGCCUCUCUGUCUCUCUCUGUCUCUACCUGUCUCUGGCAUAUUGGGGUGGUGAGAAAAAAAAUCCAUGACUUUUUCUCUACCUGUCUGUCGCAUAUUUGUCUUUCUCUACCUCUGCAGACCUUUUUUUUUGGGGGUCAAAAUCUCUACAGUUUCCCAAAUCAUGAAUGGUUGAACACUUUUUAUUUAUUUUUAACGAAACCAAGAGAGAACAAGUGAGAAAUAAGAAAGAAAGUGGAAGGGAAAAGAGAGACAGCUACAUAAGAGAGAUCAAGAGAAGAAAAAAUAAAGAGGAAAGAGAGGGAAAGAAUCGGAGAGGGGAGAGGAGAGGAAGAGGAAGAGGAAGAAAGUCAGUGAGAGAAAAAGGGAGAAGGGAAGAACAAAUAUAAAUGAGAAACAUAAAAAAAAAAAAUAUUUGGGCUGCAGAGGCGUGGAGAUGUGAUGGGCAAAAUGCUUUGGGUAGAGCAAAUGGCAAAAACAAAGAAGUAAAAUAAUCAUGCUAACCCACCAAACCGAUGUGACCACUUCGGGAGCAAAUGGCAAAAACAACGAAGUAAAAUACAUUUAUAUGUUGUAAAUAAUAAGGUUGAGCCCACCUCCAAUUGGAAGAGGCUUUGCCUACAAAAGGGUUCACAUCUUUCCUUUGUAAACACAGACAUGAGAAUGAGAAAUCAGUUUCUAUACUCUCUCUAUAUCUCAAUUCCCUCUCUACAGUUUUCUCUAGAUUUAUAACACGUUAUCAGCACGAAUUCGCUUUAACUAUACCAGCUGAAUUCUCUGAUGAAACCCAGCCAAACAAACACUUCUCUCUUUGUUUCUUCUUUGUUUUGUGACCCUCCUUGCAUAUCCGAACAAACUCUGGAUACAAUACCCAGAAACCAAACAGCCACCAUAAUCAACACCUUGCUAAGCAACAAAGAGGAUAACAAAGUCAUUUGCUGAAAGCAUUUGUUUUUGGCUUCUUCACAAUCAACACAGGACACUUCACAUUCUGUGCACAGUGGUUGCUCACACUCCCGAGGAAUGCCCUUUUGAUGAGACCAUAGCCAUGGCUUCCCAUGACCAACACGUCAGCACCAAGCUGCUCUGCCAUCUGGCAAAACACAUCCCUCGGAUCACCGUUCUCUACUCGCGUCUCCACCUUAACAUCCUGCUGAAGGUCUUUGCACAUCUUCUUGGCCUUCUCGAUCACGCAGGCCGCCACCUCAGCGCCGUACUUCUCCAUCGCCGCCAAAAUAUUCGAGGAAAACAAAUACCCUGUGCCAUCUAGAGCCGUGUACACAGCUCUCCGGAAAUCAUGGUACCAUCUACGGCUGUCGGUGAGGCACCCGACCAGAGUUCCCACGUGGGACGCCAUCGUCUUGACGGCGGCCAGUCCCGAGCAAGCCAAGCUCUACGAGUGGCAGCUCACGCGCGCCAAGCGGGUGGGCCGUAUAGCCGUCUCCACGAUCACUCUGGCCGUGCCCGACCCCGACGGCCAGCGCAUCGGCUCCGGCGCCACCACCGUCCACGCCAUUCACGCCCUCGCCAAGCAUUACCGUACAGUAGGCCCACGCUCCGAGGUGGCAACUACAAGCAAUGGUAGUUCUGGGUUCUCUGAGUCUCAUAAAAAUCCAGAGGAUGAAGUGGAUGAUGAUGAUCUCUCGCAAAUGGUUAGCUUCAUUGCCAAAAGGCAUAUAUUAUUGCUCUACCAGGCCCAUGCGGAUUGGCCCUGCUGCUACUAAGAAACCAGGUAGUGGUGGACAGCAAUACCAGAAAGGUCCUCUGCUUCCCUAUCUUUCAAUUACUUUAGUAUUAUCCUUUACUUUUUAACUUACUUUGCAGGUGGAAAGGCAGUAGCAAGCUUGAUAUCCAUCAUUUUUUUAGCUACAAUUAACAAAAACAUGAUAAAAGAACAGCACCCACCGAAAUGAUGAGCUUCCCACCAUAUUUUCAUUUAUUAUUAUCCUAUGUUAUUUAAUAUUAAUAUUAAUGGUAAUAUAAUAUAUUAUAUUUACUGUAUGGUGUAGGUUUAUUACUCAUACAACAGUAUUUAUUUAAAAGGGUGGUGCAGGUUUAUCGCCCAUGCCUUUACUUUUAUUUAAAAAUAUGGAGCAGAAUUAGUACCCAUAAAAGCACGUUUACUUUAUCGCAAAUUUACUUUUACUUAAAGUAUGAUGUGGAAUUGACCCUCAUACUUUAUGAAAUUUACUUUACCGCACAUUUAUUUUAUUUACUGUAUGGUGUAGGAUUAUUACCCAUACGACAGUAUUUAUUUAAAAGGGUGGCGCGGGUUUAUCGCUCAUGCCUUUAUUUUUAUUUAAAAGUAUGGAGCAGAAUUAGUGCCCAUACAAGCACGUUUACUUUAUGAAUUUAAUUUACCGCACAUUUAAUUUUAUUUAAGGUAUGGUGCGGGAUUAACGUCCAUACAACAAGCAAUUUAAUUUAUGAAUUUAUUUUACCGCACAUUUACAUUUAUUUAAAGUAUGGUGCGGGUUUAUCGUCCAUACCAGUAAUUUAUUUACCAGCAAUUUAUUUUAUGGAUUAAUUGUGCUGUAUGAUGAGUUUUUACAGUAUGCAGAUCAGGACUAGAAGUUCCUUGAUCCUCAUCAUACAAUUACAUCAGGACUUGAAGAUCCUUGAUGAUGAUGUUAAUAUGAGAGCUGGCAGUCUCUCCGGUACUAUAUUUGUAACCAUGUGAUUGGACUUGAGGGUCCUUGAUCCCUGACAUGUAAAUAAGGACCUGGGGUUCCUUAAUGAUGUAACAGUACCGUAUUGGUUCAUAAUGCCGUACACAUGGAUGAUAACUGUACUGGCAAAUGUAAUGUAUACAUGAAUAGAUACGUAUUCAUGACUUGAUGAAUAGUACCGGAUAUAUGAAUAGUGACGUAUACAUAAAUAUUAACCAUUUUGGGUAAACCGUCACUAUAUUCAAAAGGGAACCUGCAGUUCCUUAAACUCAUGGAUGAGCAAUUAAAUGAGAUGCCAGAAGUUCCUCAAGAUAUGGACAAUUAUGUAAGGGCUUGAAGUCCAGAAAUAUGUACAGAAAAUUGUAAAAAUGUCCAUACCAUGAGAAUAUAUGAUUUUGGCUUGAGGUUCAAAAAUCUAACAGUGUUGAGAACCUGAAGUUCCAACAAUUAAAUGGACAACCCUUGAGGUAUUAUUGCAAAUUGUGGUACGCCACAUAUUUCUUUGACAUAAGAGAAUGAUGAAUUUAAUAAAGUUCGAUUUUGUUAUAAUCGACACCUCAAGGAAGAAAUAUAUUUUGUGAAUUCCGGUUGUUAAGAAUACACCGUGAAAUGGAUAAUAUCAAUAUAAAAUGAUGAAUUGAGGCUCUCCACAUAUUUUGAUAUAUCUGGGCCGGAAGCACAUGGAUUCAAAUAUAUGAGAAAUCCCGAAUUUGAGAUUGUGGGUAUAUAGUAGUUAAUGCUCUUCACUACUAUAUUACGAAAUUAUCGUAGCUUUUACUCAAUUCAUAUUUCAUGUCCAUUUGAAAAGGGCGAAUAAAUUCUGAGUUUUGUGUUUAGCCCAGGCCAAAAGUUCCAUACGUUGAAAUAUGAAAUUUGGGAGAGUCGAUGUGGUUAUUUGAACCUAUAAGGCACAAGGUUCCAAACCGUCAUUUUGAAAAGACGUAAAAACCACAGGUGCAAGUUUAAGAAUGUGCGCAAUUAUUAUAACAGUAACAUACAACAGAUAGAUUUUUUCCACCUGCAAUGAAGGUGCAGGCCCUGUAAAAUCUAUAAAUGUUCUGGAAGCCUCUGAAGGAAGAGGACGACGCCUCUUAAGCUUAGCCAUGAGCCUCUCGUGGUCUCCCAAAAUUCUUUCAUUGGAGACCUGCAGCAUGUCUAGCCUUCUCAGUGUAUCAAUGGAGUACGAACUCACCAGUUUCAACAAGGAAUUAUUCUCUCCUUUAAGUUUCUCAACCUCCUGUUGAGACUCAUGAAGCAUUCUUUGAAGAGACGAAUUUUCAGUUGUUAGCCUCUCAACCUCGUUUGCUCUGGCACGCAAACGAUCAGCCAUGUUAGAAACAGAAGCAGCACUCUGAAUGCUAAAAGCCAUUGAGUCAUCAAUAGCCUCUUCCUCAGACCUCCCUGUUAACAGCAUUUCAUCCAUUGGAGUAAUGAAAUUCCUAGCUACUAUGACAGCAGUAGCAUCAUUCAUCAUCACAUAAUCAUUAACUGUGAGAUGACGAUUUUGGGAUACAAAGGAUGGACGCCAAACUUUGGCGUCACUGGUUGUUGUGGGAGUAUCAUUUAAAGUGAAAUAAUUUGGGCAGGAAGAAGAGGAAGCCAUUUUUAAGAAGGUUUCGAAGAAAGUCUUAAGAAAACUAAAGUUUCAGAAAAUGAAGGAAGUUAAGUUGAAACGCAGUUGCUCCAAUUAAGUUUUGCAAAGGCAAUAUCUAUAGGAGGAAAUAUGGUUACAGUUUUUCAGGAUCCCAAUAUCUUCUCGGAUCCCCAUAUUCUCUUUUUCUUUCCCAGAUUCCAAAACUUCACGCGGCCUCCAUUAAUGUUUGUCGGCACUUUCGGCGUUUUCCAAGUAUUAUUUUCGUCAAAGCAGAUCUUGCUUUGCGGAUUUCACGGAGCUACUUUUUCAAAAGUGCCCCGAGAAUCUCGCAAUUUUCCUAUGGUUAAUUUGAAAUUCACCGGUUCUACCUAUUCCUCUUAUUUGUGUAUAAAUGUGUUACUAACGAAAUUUUCUUUGCAGAAGACAUCCAGUUUUCUCCAUACCUAGUGAUGCGAUAUCUACUUAUUUUUCUUAUCAGUGAGCACUCAAUAUGCCCGAGAAGCAAGACUAUCUCUGAUCAUCCAUUCAGGAAGCGAGACUAUCCCUGAUCACGUUUCCGCCACAUCAGGGAACUGUGAAGGCAACCUUAUGCUCUAAUCUCCGGAAGUUCUUCUAGAUUAGAAGAAAUGAGAGCUUGUUGUUUGCUCCCACCAGCUUCCUUCCUUGAUUGCUGAGCUUGUUGUCUGCUCCCACCAGCUUCCUUCCCUGAUUGCUUACCUUCUCUUGCAAUCAAUAUCACAUUAUUUUUGCAUUUUUUCUCUUUUUAUAACUCUCUGUUCAUAAGAGAUUUUAUUUCUUUAGAAUGAACAUCUGAAGAAUGAAUCCAUGAAGUAAUCCUAACUAUGAGGGUUAUUUGUUUUGACAGAGGCAAAAGAGUUGUGAUUUUUGCUCUUGCAGGAUAUAACUAGAUCAUCAAGCGUUACAUUAUAUUUACUGGGCCGAUAUGAGCUUGAAUGAUACUUGAGAAAAGUUUCUCCCACUUAAGGAUGUAAGCAAUACUUGUGUUGUUUUAUGCUUAUAUACUUAUUUGAUAUUUUAUCUUGAAAGGUAACCAAAUGGGGAGAUAAGUCUGUUCCAAAAGAAUGGCUUGUAUGUAUCCAUGAAUUAUUAAUGCAAAUUUUACAGAUUGCAAGUUGGAUACAUUGAUAAUACACUGCACAGAUUAAAGUCCCAUAAGAACAGAAUAUGGGUAUAGCAGUGAUCAAUAUGAUGCACGCCUGUUGCGUAGCAAAUGAUGUGGAUUGAAGUCCCGAAAGGACAAUCCUUUGACAUGUCAAUAUUGAUAUUGUGCACGCCUAAUGCGUAGCAAAUUGUAUGGGUUAAAGUCCCAGAAAUUAAUUGACAUGUAUGUAUUAAUCUGUGGCAUGCCUGCAGCAUGACAGAUAUAUGGGUUCUAAAUGUUCCAACUCUCUAAAUAGAGAUUAUCCACGCCCUACUGUAAAAUAACGCUCCAUUGGAGGUUAUAAUCCACAUUCUCACAUAAUAAAAGCCCCAUGAAGUGGCUUGGGUACCCAAAAAGUAAAGAAAUGCUUAUAAUUGAUGCAUGCACGUGCAAAUGAGAAUGAUGAGAUCAUGAAUUGAUGAAUGACAAUUUUUGGUUUUGGAGUAGCUACUCAAAUCAUCAAUGGGCUGUGUUGAUUGGAACCACGUUCAGUUAUUAAAUGUCGACAAUAUCAUUGGCCAAAAUGGAAUGAGGUAAUUCCAUUAUAGAUGAGAAUGAACGUGAAAGAACAAACCCACAGUACGAACCCCAAAAGAUAUUAAUACUGAAAUUUAUACUUGGGUGUUCAGAAUAAAAGGGAAUAUAUCUACUUUGUAUGACACAAUGUUUCUGGCAGAAACAAGGAAUGUUGGGUUUUCUCCAUAUUUACAGAUUCAAUUGUGCCCUCCUUAUUGCACAUUUACAGAGACCAACAUGUUAUCUUUAAGGGUUAUUGAAUGCACGGAGCAUAUCGCCAGAAGCGAUUCCCUAAAAAAGUAUAAAUAGCUGGGUAAAAGCUAUAUAAUGUGUCAUAAAGUUUAAUCCCUUUUAAACAAAAUCCUUGAAAGGAUUGAAAUUGCAUGAAGCAAGUCUCUGAAGGACAUGUGCCUGAAGCACAAAAUCUGUACUCCAUACUAAUGUGCAUAAAUUGCCUCAGUAAGUACAUUGAUUAUAAUGUGUUUGCAACACAUUAAAGCUUCUGAAGAGUUCAAGAAAUAUUUGUAUCGACCUAACGAUCGAGCGUUGUGCCAAAUGAGACUUUUUUGCUUAUACUAAGAAAGUAUUGAAGCAUUUUUUUAUGAGGAUUAUCCGUUGGACACUUUAAGAAUUUUCCGGAAGUAUAUUGGACCGUACAUCGUAUUUUCCAGAUAGAGCUCAACUCCAUCACCAUCAUUUUGGGAUGAUGUGAGGCAUAUUUGAUGCAAUCUCAGCAUAACACCAUAUACGGGCAUAUUUUUGAGUGAACUUACAAAUAGCCCAAGUGUUAUUAGAUAUGUGGACUCUGGAAAUCUCUAUGGUCGCUUACUGGAAAAAGCUAGUCAUGAAGUUUUCAGGGGGAGCGUGGUUUUAAUAAAGACCUUCAUACACUGUACUCUUUUUCCUUCAUCCAGGUUUUUAUCCCACUGGGUUUUUCCUGGUAAGGUUUUAACGAGGCAGUGUCGCUCAAGAUUGACUCACAGAAGCAGUGUCAACUACGAUAUUCAGAAAGAUGAUCAACAGUAUGGCUUAAAGAUAUUUUGUCAAGCAUCAGGGGGAGCGUGCUAUCAAUAAAGAUCUUCAAACACUGUACUCUUUUUCCUUCGUCCAGGUAUUUAUCCCACUGGGUUUUUCCUGGCAAGGUUUUAACGAGGCAGUGUCGCACGCGUGUCAAUAUACACAGAAUUUUAUGUUACACAUGAUUAUGUACUCUUUUUCCCUUUGACCAGUUUUUGUCCCAUUGGGUUUUUACUGGUAAGGUUUUUAACGAGGCAUAUUCCAUAUCAUUUGUGGUCUCCAAGGGGGAGUGUUGUAAAUAAUAAGGUGGAGCCCACCUCCAAUUGGAAGAGGCUUUGCCUACAAAAGGGUUCACACGCUUCCUUUGUAAACACAGACAUGAGAAUGAGAAAUCAGUUUCUAUACUCUCUCUAUAUCUCAAUUCCCUCUCUACAGUUUUCUCUAGAUUUAUAACAUUAUAUAAAAUUUUGGGGCCCUUUAAUUGGAGGCCCAUGGCCGUCGCCCUCCGUGCUCAUGCGUCAGGGCCGGCUCUGAAAAUCACAUAUAUAUCUCUUAAAAGAGAUGACAAAUUGAAAAUAAUAUAUAAAUUCACAUAACAUUUAUUUUAAUUUUCCUAUAAGAUAUGUAUUUUGGUUGUAUUUAAUUACCCUCUCGCCAUAAACUGCUGUUAUUUAAUUUACAAAUAUUUUCUAGGGAGCUUUAGUUUUAAAACACAAUAUAGUUUACUAAUUUGGAAGAUAGUAAUACAAUUUCAUCUAAUUAGCAUAAGGCAAAAGACCAAAUUGUGGUACCUAAUUUUACAAAAAUAUCAUUCAAACAUAUCAAAAUUGCACACAAUGCCACUCCUUCUAAGGCAAGCAUACUAUGCCACAUGUCCAUAUCUAGCCAAUCAUAUCUCGCCGCCGGCCACCACUGCCGGAAUCCUGCCGCAGGUCACCACCGCCGGAAUUCUGCCGCAGGCCACCACCGCCGGACUCCCGUUGCCGGUCACCACCGCUGGACUCCCGUUGCCGGUCACCACCGCCGGACUUCCAAAGCCGGCCACCACCGCCGGACUUCCGCUGCAGGCCACCACUGCCGGACUCCCGCCGCCGGCCACCUGCCACCACCACCGUUGGCCGCCACCGCCCGUCGCCGACCACCACCGUCGGACUCCCACAGCCGGCCACCUGCCACCACCACCGUUGGCCGCCAUCGCUUGCCACCGUCUGUAGAUGACCAACUCCGUUGCCCUUUAUUCACCUUUAAAAAAAAGAUUGUGUCAUUGAAUGGACUCGAACCUUGACCCUUAAAGGAGGAAGGCUCACUCACAAACCACUACACCAAACUUGAUUUUGUAAUAUUUAUUCAAUUAUACAAUAUUUAUAUAAACAAUAAAUGGUUUAUUAAAAAAAUAAAAAUAAAAAGCAUUUCAACACUUAUUCACACAAAAACUGCAAAUAAAAACAGAAACUGCAACAAAAAUAUAAUGUAGAUAUCAAUUAUGUUAAAAAAACAAAAACAAAAACGAAAACAGCUACAAAAACAAUUGUAAUUAAAUGAAAACUGCAAUGCAGUUUACGGUUUCCAAAAGUCCAAUUUUGAGUUCUCUUGCUCUUAGGUAGUUAUACUCUUCUCUUGCCCACCUAAUUCCUCAUCUAAGUAGCUUCUACUCUUUAAAUUGGUGAGGUUGAAGACCAAGGAAAGAGCAAAAAUCCAAUUGUAAUUAAAUGAAAACUGCAAUGCAGUUUCCGAAACUGCAAUGCAGUUUCCAAAAGUCCAAUUUUGAGUUCUCUUGCUCUUGAGUAGUUCUACUCUUCUCUUGCCCACCCAAUUCCUCAUCUGGGUAGCCUCUACUCUUCAAAUUGGUGAGAUUGAAGGCCAAGAAAAGAGCAAAAAUCCAAUUGUAAUUACAAAAACUGCAAUGCAGUUUCAAAAACUGCAAUGCAGUUUCCAAAACUGCAAUGUAGUUUGUGAAAAACUAUAAUGCAGAAUUUGUAUAAAAUUUUACUGAACUAAAGCUUAAAUGGUAUUGCAAAAUAUCAUAUGGCAGUGAUGUCAUAAACAACAAGCAUCUCUAUCCUAAGAACCGCAAUAUGAUCUCAAGUUUCCAGGUCGAAAUUGAAAGUAUAGCUAGAAACAAAAUAAAAUUGAAAUAUGCAUUGCUGCAAACUAAAUAAUUUAGAUAGCAAACUCCACAAGUACAAAGAGAAGGGAAUCAAAUCAACACUAGCUUAACAACUCAAUAACCAACAACCUAUGGAUUACGGGGCAAAACCUCCAAUGUAUCUCUACCAAGCAUAAAAAAGUCACAAAUGAAAGAUAUCAUGAAAAUGUAAAGUAAUUACUAGUCAAAACCCAGGCAUCAAAAUUCUGUAAACCAGUAAAGAAUCACUGGUGAAACCCAUAGAUAAAUGAAGGUGUCAAAUAGCAGUAAACAUCUAGCAUGUAAUCAAAUAGAAGAUUUCAGAAUCAAAUGAGACAACACAGUCAAAGGGAUUACCUUUCACUGCAGCCAAAAAUGAGAUGAAUAUCAAAGCUCCCACGUUACCUUCUAAAUGAGAGUGGAAGAUAUAUUAGAUGGGCAAUACAUGUGUGAAGAUAUAUUAGAUGAAUAUGGUCAUGUAGAGGAAGCCAAAAAUGAGAGUUACCAUAUCAUAGGAACUCUUCUUACCUCAUGUUUGUUGGAAGAUGAAGGAGAUUCAGUAAAAAUGCAUGAUGUAAUUCGUGACAUGGCAUUGUGGUUAGCUUGUGACCUUGGGAAAGAAGGUGAGAACAUCCUUGUGGAUACAGGUGCUUAUCAUGCACCAAAUGUUGCGAAAUGGAACGCGAAAAGGGUUUCAUUGAUGGGUAGUGGUAUCAAAUCUCUAGAUGAAACACCAACAUCUCCCAAUCUGUUGACCUUAUUUCUCAGAGGAAGUUUUUUAAAGAGGAUUGUGGAUGACUUCUUUGAUUUCAUGCCUACGCUACGAGUUCUGGAUUUGUCUGAAAAUGUCCUUAUAACUCAACUGCCAACUGGACACUACUACAAAAAGUGAAAAAGACGACCAGAAAACAACGACGGUCUAAGUGAAAACCGUCGUGGUUUAUAAAAAGACGACGGUUCUAAAAACACCGUCGUGUAAUACAACCUUAGACAACUAAAAAAUGGAGUUUCAAAUGGCUGUUCAAAAACAACGACGUACAUAAUUAAACAACCGACGUCUAUUUGAAACAGAUUUCCUCAGUGUAAAAUCAAUGCCAACAAAGAACGGCAGAAGUUAUGAAUCGACCGACGUAGAAAGUAAAGACGACGAUUUCAAUAAAAACUGCCGUUUUUACUCAUAAAAUAACACGACGAGGUUUUCGUAUAAGACGCCGUAUAAUUACAAACAAAUCCACGGCUUUAAAAUACAAAAUAUCGCCGUAUUAAAUUAAUUUACAACGACGGAAAAUAUAAAUAUAUCGACGUCAUUCUCGUAUAGUUCUACUACGUUAUCUUUAAAUCGUACAAUAAAAUUUAUCGUCGUAUUUAUUCAUUUUAUACGUCGUACCUUUAAUUUUAACGGUCGUCUUAAUAAGAAUUUUUGUUAACAAUUUUUUUCUUUGAUUUUCUUAUCCUACGUCGGUAGAUCUACUUAAUGACAAGAAUUGAAAUAACCACGACGGUUUAUAUAGAACACCGCCGACAUAAUCAGUUUUGUCUGAGAUCCCAAGGGUUACGANNNNNNNNNNNNNNNNNNNNNNNNNNNNNNNNNNNNNNNNNNNNNNNNNNNNNNNNNNNNNNNNNNNNNNNNNNNNNNNNNNNNNNNNNNNNNNNNNNNNNNNNNNNNNNNNNNNNNNNNNNNNNNNNNNNNNNNNNNNNNNNNNNNNNNNNNNNNNNNNNNNNNNNNNNNNNNNNNNNNNNNNNNNNNNNNNNNNNNNNNNNNNNNNNNNNNNNNNNNNNNNNNNNNNNNNNNNNNNNNNNNNNNNNNNNNNNNNNNNNNNNNNNNNNNNNNNNNNNNNNNNNNNNNNNNNNNNNNNNNNNNNNNNNNNNNNNNNNNNNNNNNNNNNNNNNNNNNNNNNNNNNNNNNNNNNNNNNNNNNNNNNNNNNNNNNNNNNNNNNNNNNNNNNNNNNNNNNNNNNNNNNNNNNNNNNNNNNNNNNNNNNNNNNNNNNNNNNNNNNNNNNNNNNNNNNNNNNNNNNNNNNNNNNNNNNNNNNNNNNNNNNNNNNNNNNNNNNNNNNNNNNNNNNNNNNNNNNNNNNNNNNNNNNNNNNNNNNNNNNNNNNNNNNNNNNNNNNNNNNNNNNNNNNNNNNNNNNNNNNNNNNNNNNNNNNNNNNNNNNNNNNNNNNNNNNNNNNNNNNNNNNNNNNNNNNNNNNNNNNNNNNNNNNNNNNNNNNNNNNNNNNNNNNNNNNNNNNNNNNNNNNNNNNNNNNNNNNNNNNNNNNNNNNNNNNNNNNNNNNNNNNNNNNNNNNNNNNNNNNNNNNNNNNNNNNNNNNNNNNNNNNNNNNNNNNNNNNNNNNNNNNNNNNNNNNNNNNNNNNNNNNNNNNNNNNNNNNNNNNNNNNNNNNNNNNNNNNNNNNNNNNNNNNNNNNNNNNNNNNNNNNNNNNNNNNNNNNNNNNNNNNNNNNNNNNNNNNNNNNNNNNNNNNNNNNNNNNNNNNNNNNNNNNNNNNNNNNNNNNNNNNNNNNNNNNNNNNNNNNNNNNNNNNNNNNNNNNNNNNNNNNNNNNNNNNNNNACAAAGAGAGAAAGUUUCCAACUUUGAAGACAACUACAUCAACUAAAUAAGACGACGGUAGACCACGACGGUUCGUCAGUUGUUCUAGCGUCGUCUGAAAAUUGACAAAGUUGUUUUUAAAAUAAUAGUCUUUUUUUAUAUGCUUGUUUAAUUGCAGGUUUGAUUUCGCUGAACAAUGGUUUUUGUUUUUCCCUUAUUUGAUAAAAUAUAAAGAAAAAGAAACUAGGGUUGGUAUCUAAUAUAGACGAUAAAAUAUAAAUAAUAGUUUACCACGACGGUGUAUUACUAUUGACGUGGUGUGAACAUAUAUACCACGACGUUAUAUAAAUAAUGGUUUUAAACAUUUAUUACGUCUGAGAUUAUUUCAUUGCGUCGUCUAAAAUCAUAUCAUACGUCGUAUUUUUUUAAUACCGUCGUUUGUGUUCUUAAUGUUUUCCUGAAAUAUUUUCACUUGCAGUUUUGUCUGUUAAAAUGGUUUCUCAACAACAAACUAAGGAUUCUGGCUCCAAGAAGCUUGGAAUGGUAGCUCCUCAAGAUAAGUCUUCGAAGGAGAUGAAGUCUUCGAAGAAGAUGAAGUUUGCUUCAUCAUCUGCUGAGACAGAACAAACCAGCCAGACAACAAUCUCAGAUGAUUCAAAGACUGGUCGAGGUAUGAGCACAAUGCCUCGUGUUGUGAAGAGAAAGCUUCAGAAACUGAGGCCAAUUGUUGAGUACAAUAAAAGGGGGAAAGGUGUUGGCCAAGCACAUAUUGAGAUGCAGUCGUAUAUUGGUGUGUUGGCACGCUCCAGGAUCCCACUUGUGGACAAGAAAUGGUCCCAAAUCCCCAAGGAUAUAAAGGAGCAGAUUUGGGAAGCAGUUGACAUGGCUUUUGUCGUAGGCCAAGGGGGCAAGACCUCUGUUUUAGCUUCUGCUUCCAAGAAAUGGAAGGAUUUCAAGUCUACACUAACGAGGCAUUAUAUCCUUCCAUACACCAAUGACAGGGAGAAAUUAAGCCAACCCCCUGAAACAUAUAAAUUCAUAGAGAAAGCACAAUGGGAUGCCUUUGUAGCUUCAAGGCUAUCCAAAGAUUUUGAGUCUGUGCAUUCUCAACAUGCACAGAUUAGGGAGAAACUCGAGUACAAUCAUCGAUUGUCUCGAAAAGGAUAUGCUGGAUUGGAGGAUCAAUUGGAGGAAACCAUGCCUGGGGUAGAAAUUGAUCGAUCUACCUUAUGGAAGAGAGCUAGACAGGACAAACAUGGUAACAUCCCUGAUCCAAAGGUGGCAGAGAAAGCAAAAUUAAUUGUAAGCCUACUAUCACUCUGUUUUAAAUUUUUAUUAAACUGUGAAUUAUUCUUAUUACGUCGUAUGUUAUAUUUUUCGUCGUGUGAAUGAUAUUACCACGUCGAAAAGUUUUUAAAAACGUCGUUAAAGGUCUAAAUAGGAAUCACUACUAUGUUUUCUGUAAUUACAGCAUAAGACGUCGGUGGUUCAUUUUCGCGUCGUGUGAAUGAUAUUACCACGUCGAAAAUUUUUUAAAAACGUCGUUAACGGUCUAAAUAGGAAUCACUACUCUGUUAUCUUUAAUUAUAGCAUAAGACGUCGGUUGUUUAUUCAUUUCGUCGUUUUAAAUAAAUAACCACGUCGGUAUAACUACCGUCGUGAUAAGUUAUAAUAACGUCGGUUUAUACGUUAUUGCGUCGUGUGAAAUUAUAUAAUACGUCGUUUGUACAUAAAUAACCGUCGUGUGUUUUUUUGUUUAUCUUUUUUUAGGAUGAAUUGCAGAAACAAGUCUCGGAAGGCAAAGUCAGAGUAGAUGGCAGCAAUGAUGUGCUGACCAUGGCUUUGGGCCCCGAGCAUCCAGGCAGACUGAGGGGAGUUGGUGCUGGUGUUUCCCCAAGGCAAUAUUUCAAUUUGCCCAAACCACAGAGGGUGAGCUUUGACGACCGUUUGAAGGACAGUUUAAGAGUUCUCCUUCAAGAAGAGACUAAAAAGAUGGAGGCUAAGGCAAGGGAAGAGGCCUUAAGGAUGGAGGCUAGGACAAAACAAUUGGUAGAGGCUGAGAGGGAGCAUUUCCUGAGUCAGCUUUCCCAAUUAAUUCCCAAUUUUGAUCCAAGCAUGCUUAAACCAAGAAUUAGCCAAAGCCCCAAAAAUCCAAUGUCUGACAAAGCUAGCUGCUCUGGAGGUGAUGUGAGAUCCCUACAUUUGGAGGAUGAUACUGCCAAAAUGGGGAAACAUCAGCCAGAUGAAGAGAAGGAAGAAGAAAAAAGAGAUGAAGAGAAGGAAGAAGAAAAGGAGAAAGAAGAUGAAGAAAAGCAUGACGACAAGGUAUGUUCACAUAACUUUGCCUUUUUUAUUUGUUUUUCAAAAUUUCAGACGUCGAUAUUUUUAUUUAAUCCGUCGUUUGUUUAAAACUUAGACGGCGGAAUUUUGUUAAGACGUAAUAAAAUAUUUAAACGACGGUUUUUGCACCGUCGUUUAAAUGGUUUCAGACGACGCUUUAUUCAUAAAACCGUCGUCUUUAUUGAAUUACCACGACAGUUUUUUCACCGUCGUUUAAAUACUUUUAAGACGACGUUUUAUUACUUAAACCGUCGUCUUUAUUGAAUUACCACGUCAUUUUUUUUAUUUCUUUAAACAGGUUAUUGAAGUUGGUGCUUAUUCAAAAAUGGAGGCGCCAUCUUCUUUAAAAACCCUUUGUCGUUUUGUGGAAACGACACUCCUGCCUGAGGAUAAGACAGUCCAAUUUACAAUUGAUAAGGAGGUGUUUGGUGGUGAGCGCGAUACCUUCCUCCUGCCUGAAGAUAUUACACAAUUUGCAGGCAUGGAAGAAAUUGGAGCUACUGUAUUGGCUGUAUAUAUGAGGUUUGUACUUCUAAAAUAAUAACUCGUUGGUUUAUAUAUUGCGUCGUCUUAACUAACUAACCACGUCGUCUUAACUAACAACCGUCGUGAUAAAUAUAUUAUAACGUCCUCAUCUAUUUCAGUACGUCGUGUGAAAUAUUAUAAUACGUCGUUUUUUUAUACAUAACCGUCGUGUUUUGUGUGCUGACUUGUUUAUAUUAUUUUAUUUGUUUAGGUACUUACACGAUGUUUUGAAAAAAGCCAAUAUGUGCAGUAUGGUUGGCUUUAUCGACCCUGCUACAGUUAGUGCCAACUCUGGCACAAUAACUGAAAGAUCAUGACUCGUAGCAGCUCGACUUCAGAAGACAGACGGUGAACAGAUUUUCAUGAUGCCUUACAAUCCAGGGUUAGUCUCCUUAGGAUUUUGUUUUUAUGAUUUUCAAUAAAUGACAGCUUAUAAACUAACCACGUCGGUGUUUUAUUUUAUUUAGUCGUUUGAAACUACUAACCACGUCGGUAUUUAUUUAUCGUCGUGAUAAAUAUAUAAUGUCGUCGUUAGCUACUUUACUUCGUCGUGUGAAAUACUAUAAUACGUCGUUUUUGUAAAUAACCGUCGUUUUUAUAUUAAUUUUGUGCAGCCGUCAUUGGAUUUUGCUGAUUGUAAGAACAAAGAGAGAAACCGUCUAUUUUCUGGAUCCUCUGCCAGGAAAUCGUGUGGUCGAUGAAGAGGCCAAAAACAUCGUGAACAGUGCUUUAAAAAUAUAUAAUACCCACAUAGCCCGAGCAGGACGUAAAAAUGUAAUUUGGAAAACUCUCUCAGGCACACCAAAGCAACCCAGCAAUGUCGAAUGCGGGUAUUAUGUAAUGCGCUUCAUGAGGGACAUCAUCAUGGAUCCUUCCUUGGGGUUUGAGAAUAAGGUAAGAAGAAAUUACCUUCAUACAUUUCACGUCGUUUUUUGUAUUAUCAACGACGGUCGUGUAAAAUUAACGUCGUUGAAUGGAUAUACUACGUCGGUAUGAAAAAUAUCGUCGUCUGUGAUUGAUUUCUUUUUAUUUAUAAACCCUAUAGUCAUUGUUUAUGCAGUAUGCCAAGGGNNNNNNNNNNNNNNNNNNNNNNNNNNNNNNNNNNNNNNNNNNNNNNNNNNNNNNNNNNNNNNNNNNNNNNNNNNNNNNNNNNNNNNNNNNNNNNNNNNNNNNNNNNNNNNNNNNNNNNNNNNNNNNNNNNNNNNNNNNNNNNNNNNNNNNNNNNNNNNNNNNNNNNNNNNNNNNNNNNNNNNNNNNNNNNNNNNNNNNNNNNNNNNNNNNNNNNNNNNNNNNNNNNNNNNNNNNNNNNNNNNNNNNNNNNNNNNNNNNNNNNNNNNNNNNNNNNNNNNNNNNNNNNNNNNNNNNNNNNNNNNNNNNNNNNNNNNNNNNNNNNNNNNNNNNNNNNNNNNNNNNNNNNNNNNNNNNNNNNNNNNNNNNNNNNNNNNNNNNNNNNNNNNNNNNNNNNNNNNNNNNNNNNNNNNNNNNNNNNNNNNNNNNNNNNNNNNNNNNNNNNNNNNNNNNNNNNNNNNNNNNNNNNNNNNNNNNNNNNNNNNNNNNNNNNNNNNNNNNNNNNNNNNNNNNNNNNNNNNNNNNNNNNNNNNNNNNNNNNNNNNNNNNNNNNNNNNNNNNNNNNNNNNNNNNNNNNNNNNNNNNNNNNNNNNNNNNNNNNNNNNNNNNNNNNNNNNNNNNNNNNNNNNNNNNNNNNNNNNNNNNNNNNNNNNNNNNNNNNNNNNNNNNNNNNNNNNNNNNNNNNNNNNNNNNNNNNNNNNNNNNNNNNNNNNNNNNNNNNNNNNNNNNNNNNNNNNNNNNNNNNNNNNNNNNNNNNNNNNNNNNNNNNNNNNNNNNNNNNNNNNNNNNNNNNNNNNNNNNNNNNNNNNNNNNNNNNNNNNNNNNNNNNNNNNNNNNNNNNNNNNNNNNNNNNNNNNNNNNNNNNNNNNNNNNNNNNNNNNNNNNNNNNNNNNNNNNNNNNNNNNNNNNNNNNNNNNNNNNNNNNNNNNNNNNNNNNNNNNNNNNNNNNNNNNNNNNNNNNNNNNNNNNNNNNNNNNNNNNNNNNNNNNNNNNNNNNNNNNNNNNNNNNNNNNNNNNNNNNNNNNNNNNNNNNNNNNNNNNNNNNNNNNNNNNNNNNNNNNNNNNNNNNNNNNNNNNNNNNNNNNNNNNNNNNNNNNNNNNNNNNNNNNNNNNNNNNNNNNNNNNNNNNNNNNNNNNNNNNNNNNNNNNNNNNNNNNNNNNNNNNNNNNNNNNNNNNNNNNNNNNNNNNNNNNNNNNNNNNNNNNNNNNNNNNNNNNNNNNNNNNNNNNNNNNNNNNNNNNNNNNNNNNNNNNNNNNNNNNNNNNNNNNNNNNNNNNNNNNNNNNNNNNNNNNNNNNNNNNNNNNNNNNNNNNNNNNNNNNNNNNNNNNNNNNNNNNNNNNNNNNNNNNNNNNNNNNNNNNNNNNNNNNNNNNNNNNNNNNNNNNNNNNNNNNNNNNNNNNNNNNNNNNNNNNNNNNNNNNNNNNNNNNNNNNNNNNNNNNNNNNNNNNNNNNNNNNNNNNNNNNNNNNNNNNNNNNNNNNNNNNNNNNNNNNNNNNNNNNNNNNNNNNNNNNNNNNNNNNNNNNNNNNNNNNNNNNNNNNNNNNNNNNNNNNNNNNNNNNNNNNNNNNNNNNNNNNNNNNNNNNNNNNNNNNNNNNNNNNNNNNNNNNNNNNNNNNNNNNNNNNNNNNNNNNNNNNNNNNNNNNNNNNNNNNNNNNNNNNNNNNNNNNNNNNNNNNNNNNNNNNNNNNNNNNNNNNNNNNNNNNNNNNNNNNNNNNNNNNNNNNNNNNNNNNNNNNNNNNNNNNNNNNNNNNNNNNNNNNNNNNNNNNNNNNNNNNNNNNNNNNNNNNNNNNNNNNNNNNNNNNNNNNNNNNNNNNNNNNNNNNNNNNNNNNNNNNNNNNNNNNNNNNNNNNNNNNNNNNNNNNNNNNNNNNNNNNNNNNNNNNNNNNNNNNNNNNNNNNNNNNNNNNNNNNNNNNNNNNNNNNNNNNNNNNNNNNNNNNNNNNNNNNNNNNNNNNNNNNNNNNNNNNNNNNNNNNNNNNNNNNNNNNNNNNNNNNNNNNNNNNNNNNNNNNNNNNNNNNNNNNNNNNNNNNNNNNNNNNNNNNNNNNNNNNNNNNNNNNNNNNNNNNNNNNNNNNNNNNNNNNNNNNNNNNNNNNNNNNNNNNNNNNNNNNNNNNNNNNNNNNNNNNNNNNNNNNNNNNNNNNNNNNNNNNNNNNNNNNNNNNNNNNNNNNNNNNNNNNNNNNNNNNNNNNNNNNNNNNNNNNNNNNNNNNNNNNNNNNNNNNNNNNNNNNNNNNNNNNNNNNNNNNNNNNNNNNNNNNNNNNNNNNNNNNNNNNNNNNNNNNNNNNNNNNNNNNNNNNNNNNNNNNNNNNNNNNNNNNNNNNNNNNNNNNNNNNNNNNNNNNNNNNNNNNNNNNNNNNNNNNNNNNNNNNNNNNNNNNNNNNNNNNNNNNNNNNNNNNNNNNNNNNNNNNNNNNNNCAUUCAUUGGAACGGCCUGGCCCAAAACUCCACAUGACAACCUGUAAGUACAAACCCUAUCUUCCCCUUGUAAAUUCAUUGAAUGAUAUUAGGUUGUUUUGUUAAAGGGUUUUAGGUAUAUGCUUUGCGAUCUGUUAAUAAUGUGCUUAUAGGUAUGGGUUCAUGGAUUUUCUGUUUAAUGGGUUCAUGACAAGAUCAAAUAAAGGUGUACUUUUGCUGGAAAUCAACACAAAAAGACACAUCACCAACUUCCAAAUGAUUUCCAGCAAAAGGACACCUUUAUUUGAUCUUGUCAUUUUCCGCUCUGGAGAAGGUGCAAAGUGCACCAAUGCUUAUAGGUAUGGGUUCAUGGAUUUUCUGUUUAAUGGGUUCAUGGAUUACAUUAUCUGUUAUGUUGAAUUGGGAAUGGAUUUAAUUUUGUCGUAUCUUUUAAUCACCCUAUGUUAUGUUGAAUUGGGAAUGGAUUUAUUGUUUUCAUGCUUGGUUUCAUGUAUAUGUUGGUUUCUUGCUUGGUUUCAUAUAUAUGUUGUGUUCUUAAUGGGUUUUGUGUUCUUGAAAAUAAACUGAGACACGACGAAUUUUAAGGCGUACGACGACGAUUACACGACGGUGUUUUUAAACUACCGUCGUUGUAUUACUUAUACACGACGGUUUUUUCAUAAACCGUCGUUUGUAUUACGUAUAAUAGACGACGUCUGUUGAAAAUCCGUCGUCUAUAUAUGCCAAAUACGUCUGUUUUUGAUUAAAACCCGUCGUCUCUGUUGUUUAUUACUUGCGAUUAGAUCAUUGUAUAAUCUGCUAUAGUGAUGGUCAUUGCCUGUAUUUUCACUUUAUUAUAGAUAAUAGGUUAUAGUGUCGGAGAUGGAUAAGUCAUGGAUGCACUCGGAUAGAAGAUCGAAGGCAUAUGAGUUUGGGGUGGAAGCAUUUUUGAACUUUGCUGUAGAAAAUCUUCUAACUACAACACAUAUCCGUUGUCCAUGUGUUAAAUGUGUUAAUUUGAAGUUGUUUGGGGUUGGAAUUAUAAGGGAUCACUUAUACUUUAAUGGAAUUGACCAAAGCUAUAAGAAUUGGACAUUUCACGGAGAACCUUGGAAAGCAACUACUAAUGCUAGCAGAAAUGUUGAAGAAGAUGAUGGCCAUAGUAGGUACAGUUUUGUGUCUGAAGAAAUUGAUAUGGAUGAUAAUGAUUUUGGUGAUUUUGGUUCGGAUCCGUAUGAGUUUGCCAAUGUGAUUGGGGAUGGAGAUCAACCAGUGUACCCUGGUUGUAGAAAGUACACGAAGUUAUCGGCAUUAGUGAAGUUGUAUAAUUUGAAGGCAAAACAUGGGAUGAGUGAUGUCUGUUUUACAGAAUUAUUGAUACUUCAAGGCGAUUUGCUUCCAGAAGGAAAUACAAUACCAACCUCCAUGUAUGAGGCUAAAAAGACUUUGUGUGCAUUGGGGCUGAGUUAUGAGAAAAUGCACGCAUGCCCCAAUGAUUGCAUCUUGUAUAGGAAGGAGUAUGAGGAUUCAACUAAUUGUCCUACUUGUGGUAUCUCAAGGUGGAAGGAAGGCAAAGAUGCAAUCUUGAAAGAGGGUGUGCCAGCGAAGGUGGUGUGGUAUUUUCCCCCAAUUCCAAGGUUUAAAAGGAUGUUUCAAUCACAUGAGACAGCUAAGAGUUUGACUUGGUGGCAUGUUGCUAGAAAAUCAAUUGACGGUCAGAUGUCUCAUCCGGCGGAUUCCCCGUCUUGGAAACUUCUUGAUGAUAAAUGGCCUGAGUUUGGUAAUGAGCCGAGAAACUUGAGAUUGGCUCUUUCAUCUGAUGGAUUCAAUCCCCACAGUUCUCUAAGUAGCAGAUAUAGUUGUUGGCCGGUUAUCUUAGUUACAUAUAAUCUCCCUCCAUGGCUGUGCAUGAAACGAAAGUUCAUGAUGUUAACCUUAUUGAUUUCCGGUCCUAAACAACCCGGAAAUGAUAUAGACGUCUACUUGGAGCCUUUGAUUGAUGAUUUAAAAUCCUUGUGGGUUGGGAUUAGAGGAGUGUAUGAUGCACAUAAUGGAGAAUACUUUACACUCAGAGCUGCAUUAAUGUGGACAAUUAAUGAUUUCCCCGCCUAUGGAAACUUAUCUGGUUGUGUUGUUAAAGGAUAUAAAGCUUGUCCAAUAUGCGGCGAUGAUACACCUAGUCACAGGUUGAAAAAUGGCCACAAAAUUUGUUACAUUGGGCAUAGAAAAUGGUUACCAAUCAAUCAUCCAUAUAGGAGGCAACGUGCAGCUUUUAAUGGGAAACCUGAAUAUGGCAUACCUCCAGAGCCAUUAACCGGAGAAGAAGUGCUGCAUAUGGUUGAAAAUGGUGAUAGAGUUUGUUGGAAGAAGAAAUCAAUAUUCUUUGAUCUCGAGUAUUGGAAAUACCUUCCUGUGAGGCAUGCCCUAGAUGUUAUGCACAUUGAGAAGAAUGUUUGCGAUAGUAUCAUUGGUACAUUGCUGGAGAUCCCUGGAAAAAAUAAAGAUGGGAUUGCUGCUCGAUUAGAUUUAUUGAACAUGGGGGUCAAAACUGAUUUGCAACCCGAGUAUGGAGAAAGACGUACUCGUUUGCCUCCUGGGCCUUGGAAUUUGUCAAGAGCAGAGAAGAGAGAGGUUUGCAAUUCUUUCUAUGGUAUGAAGGUCCCUGAAGGUUAUUCUUCAAAUAUUAAAAAUCUUGUAUCUGUACAAGAUUCAAGACUUCUUGGCCUUAAAUCACAUGAUUGUCAUACCUUAAUGCAACAAUUGCUCCCUGUGGCAAUUCGUUCUGUUUUGGAGAAGCCUGCAAGGUAUGCAAUAACUCGUUUGUGCUUCUUCUUCAAUGCUAUAUGUGCAAAGACUGUUGAUGUUUCCAAGCUAGAUAAGUUGGAAGAAGAUGUAGUAGUUACUCUGUGUUUGCUUGAGAAGUACUUUCCCCCUUCAUUCUUUGAUAUCAUGGUUCAUCUAGUAGUACAUCUUGUCAGAGAAGUUCGUCUAUGUGGGCCAGUAUAUUUUAGGUGGAUGUAUCCGUUUGAAAGAUAUAUGAAAGUGCUGAAGGGGUAUGUUCAGAAUCGUACUCGUCCCGAAGGUUGCAUUGCUGAGCGGUAUAUAGCUGAAGAAGCGGUAGAGUUUUGUACUCAGCAUUUAUCUGAUGUUAGUACAGUUGGAGUGCCUUCAAGCGAAAAGAUGGGAGUUUCAAAGCCAUUAUCAGGUUGCACAGUGAGCGUAGUUGAUCAGGACCUGUUGAAUCAAGCACAUCUAUAUGUCUUGGAGAAUACGGAGGAAGUCCUACCUUAUAUCGAGUACGUAUGAGUUUUAUUCUUUAAGUUUCCAUUUAAAAUUAUUUCUUAUGUUUAUCUUAUAUAUUUGGGACCGUAAUGCUUGAAUUUUUCGUGUCAUGUAGGCAACAUAUGAUCCACAUCAAGACUGCUUAUCCAAAAUUUAGAAAGAGAACAAAGUGGCUGCAGGAUAAGCACAAUAGCACUUUCAUUCAAUGGCUACGCUUCAAGGUAUAUGUUGUUGAAUAACGUAUUUCUCUUUUAAUUUUCUUCUUAUUUAUAUGUUAGGAUGAAUUAAGAUAUGAUUAAUUUGCAGGUUCAAAGUGAAGUUGAGGAAGACAAUCAUGGCGUAUCAGAAAAUUUAAGGUGGCUAGCAGCUGGUCCAAACAUGUCAGUGCCAUUAUAUAGGAGCUAUCUUAUUAAAGGUAUUAAAUUCAAUAUCAAGGCACAAGAUGAUGUGCGGACAACUCAAAAUAGUGGAGUUUAUUUACUUGCACAUACCAUGCAAGUUGCUAGUGCCAAGGAUAAAAACCCAAUUCUCUCAAAUAUGGGUUUCUAUGGUGUCAUUCAAGAAAUUUGGGACCUUGACUACCAAAAGUUUACAAUCCCAGUCUUUAGGUGUGAUUGGAUAGAUAGUUCUGGUCUUGUAGUCGACGAACUUGGAUUUACCCUUGUAGAUUUGAGUAAAAUUGGACAUAGGAAUGACCAAUUUGUUUUGGCUUCUCAAGUCAAACAAAUAUUUUUUGUUGACGACCCGAUGCAUCGUGGUUGGUCGGUAGUGUUAUCAAUGCCUAGUAGAGAAUAUAAUGAUGUUAUUGGUGAUGAAGUAUUAGGUGAUGUGAUAAUUGAGUGUGAGCCAUUUACUAGAGGGAUGCCAAAUGUUGACACAUUUGAUGAACUGGUAGGUGAGUUAGGCGGUCAAAAUAUUCGAGAUGGGUGUGAAGAUAUAUGGAUUGAAUGAUGCUUAUGUAAUUGGCAGUGUAUGACAUUAAUUUUGUAAUAUAUUGUAAUGUGAUUUCUUCACUUUCUACGUUCAAAUAAAACACGACGUUAUUGUGAAUCAGUUAUUCAGCAUAUUUACCGACGUCUUAAAGCAACGUAACAAUGAAGAACCACGACGCUAUUGUGAAGCAAUUAUUCAGGAUAUCACGUCGGUGAAGGAUAAAGAACCGCCAUGUAAUUCAAAAUAACACGACUCCAAUCCCAUAAUACCGACGUCUAAAAAACGAGAUAUGUAAUCUGAACGUUAAAAAAUACGACGUCAUCAUACAUUUUCCACGUCGCAAGUUCUUUUAUAAACGAAGAGGAACGAAAUUAAUUCCGACGGAAAUUCAUUAUAACCGCCGUCUAAUAACAAUUAAACGACGUUAUUUGUAAUACGGCUCCCAUCAUAAUCUACGCCGUCUAUAUGUUCUGUAAUACGGCUCUCAUUUAUUUGGAACCGACGUUGUUUAGACGUUCAACGUCGUCUAUAUUAUUAAGUGCGUCGUGAGUAAUGAAUACAUAUAAAUACAACGUCGACUAUAUAAAUGUAUACGUCGUAAAUAAUGACACUGACAACUAUUUCCACGUCAUCUUUUUUAGAUAAAAUCGAAGUGGAAAAUUUAUUUCACGACGGUUUUUUGUAAAUAAGAGACGUUGUAGAACUUUAGCAGACUAAACACGUCUGUUUUUAUUGUUUUCCGACGUUGUUGUAUUUAACAACGUCUAAUAUUUAUGGUCGUUGUUUGUUUCUGAAAAUAGGACGUAUAAAUUUUUUAAUACGACUCUCAUAUAUUUGUAACUGACGUUGUUUAGUUUUUCAACGUCUACUAUAGAAACACAUACGUCGUAAAUAAUGACACUGACAACUAUUUCCACGUCAUCUUUUAUCAAAAAAUCGAAGUGGAAAAUUAAUUGUACGACGGUUGUGUUUAUAUGUGCGACGUAGUAGGUAUCAAUAACGUCGUCUUCUAAUGUAUUUAAAGACGUCAUAUUUUUUAUUGUCGUGAAAAUUAUAUUUAACGUCGGCGUAUUUUUAUUGUCGUCGUUGUAUGUCUAUCUUGCGGCCUUGUUCUCUUAAUAUGUGUCAUAUUUUCCCUUUUUAACGACGGUCUUUUUAGAGAAUUGGUCGUCUAUUAUCAUCAUCGAUUGCUUUUUUUAGAUCUUUUGCAGUACAAAGACGUCGUUUUGUAUUUUUUGAUGACGUUGUAUUGUUUAACAACGACGGUUAUUUAGCGUCGUGGUUUAUGAGGGAAAAGAUGACGGUGGAUUCCACGACCAUUGAAAAACCAAAUACACGACGGUGAUUUACCGUCGUCUUUUUGCUUUUUUGUAGUAGUGGGAGUUGCAAAUCUAGUUUCAUUACAACAUCUGAAUUUGUCCAAAACAGGCAUAAAAUGGUUGCCGGAGGAGUUAGCAGCAUGUGCACGCGUAAAGUAUUUGAACUUAGAGCAUACAUUUAAGCUUGAUUAUGUUCCACCAAAUUUAUUAUCAAGUUUCCCGCUGCUUAAAGUUUUGAGAAUACUAGAUUGUGGUUCUUCUAACCAAGUUUUUUUUUAUAAUGAGAAAACCAUGAUAGACGAACUGCAGGGUUUGAAACACCUUGACGUCUUGACUUUGACAGUAGGAAGUAGCUCUUGUUUCGAGAAUUUGGACAGCCACCACAUAUUAGUGACUUGCACUCUUAACUUUAUGCCUCAAGGGCGAGGAUUACGGGAACCCUUCAAGGUAUCUUGAUUUAUCACCUGUGGCGAUGGCAAAUAUGAAACACCUUGAUACCCUUCAAAUUAAACGUAUGGUGGAUGUGUACUCCACGUGGAUAACACGUCUGGAAAAUCCGACUUGCUUCCUUGGUCUUCAGUUCGUAGAAGUAGUAGAUUGCACGAAUCUCAAGAACCUGGAAUGGCUCGUUUUUGCUCCAAAUCUCAUCCACUUGCAUGUAUAUGGCUGCUCUAAAAUGACAAGAAUACUCGGUUUGAACAGAACGGAAACUACCCCAUUUGCAAAACUCACUGUUUUGCGUUUGAGCAAACUACCCCACUUGUGGAGAAUAUGCGAAAAUCCCUUGCCCGUUCCAUUUCUGAAGAAAAUCCUUAUAUCUGGAUGUCCAGUGCUCACUAGGCUGCCUCUCAACUCUAGCAGUGCUCAAACAAGUAAUCUCAUUAUUGAAGGAGAGGAAAAGUGGUGGAAUGGCUUAGAGUGGGAGGACCAAGCGGCCCGAAAUGCUUUUCUUCCCUGCUUCAGAUCCUGUAAGUGAGGAGGGGCUUCCCUGAACUGUCCAUUCACCAGUUUAAUUGGAUACAUCUUUUUAUUCCAAUAGCAUUUUAAGGCAAUGUAUUAUAGUCCGGCUAUGUACAUGAUGUCUGAACUUUAAUAAUUACAUGAUUGUCAAUAUGUUAUCACAUCAUAUUAUUAUCGCCAACAAAUCGUUCCAACAUGUUGAUGGUUCUGGUUAAUUUUACAACAAGAGGUCUCGAGGUAUGAAUUUUGACACAACAAGAGGUCUCGAUGUAAGUUUAAUUUGCUAAUGUUUCCAUGUUAUAAAUUUGGUAAUAUGAGAUGUUAUAUUGUUAGUAUAUUUCCCUUUAUUAAUCCAACCCAACUAAUGUAAUGAAGAAACAGUGUAAAAUUUAUUCUUUUGGGAUAAUGGAUAAAAUAUAAAUAAAAAAAAUCUAUUCAUUAAAAUAUGUCUAACCCAUUGCCAGAGAAUACAUGAGACAAAUAUAACAACUGUGGCCAUCCAAUUUCAAUAGGCAGACUAAUGACUUGUUCACAUGGAAUCAUUUCUUGUUCUUAUAUAAUUAAUAAUGCUGAAGCUAAAGAAAGUUGACCCAAUAAUUAUUAAUUUGAACAAGCAUGAUAAGCAAUAUCCAAUAUUGAAAUUGGCCAGAAUAGUUUAUAAACUAUAUCACUUUGUAUUAUUAAUUAAUUCAUUUUCUCUUUGAUUUCUUUUGUAUAAAAUUGAAAAAUAUUAAUACUUCUCGUUUCACUGAUUCAAUAUCAGAAGAUUCAGACCCAGAACCAACCAGUAGAGCUUUACUUAAUAAAAGAAGACUAUGAACUUGAUUACUCUCUGAAUUUUUGUAUUGAUGGAGUUUCUUUACUUUUUCAUGUGCUCUAAACACAAAUGGGAAGUUGUUAAUGUACAUCAAAUUCACUCAGAUAAUGAAGGGUAUAGUCACUGAUCUUUCGGCAAGAUAACAUGGAAUUUAUCUCUUUCUAUUUGGAAAACCUUUUAAAGAGGUUUCAAAUCUCUAACGCCAUCUCCAAUGCUAAAGGAGCUAAAUCCAAAUUUUCACCCUUCAAAAUACAACUAUUCAUGUAUUGCCCGAACUUAAACAGUUUUUUUCCCCCAACCCUCCAGACUCACCGUAGCCUUAUUAAAUUGUUUAAAAAUAGUUUAACUCUUUUAUUUUAAUAGUGAAACAUUCUUGAGCUAAUUUUUGUUUCUAACUUCAUGAUUUAUUUUUUCAAACAUUUUAACCUAAAAAAUUAAAAUUCGACAAACUUAAUUUUAUUUCAAUUAAAAUGAAAACUUGUAGGCCAUUAUCCCAUAUGGCUUGAAUUAUUUUUUGAUUUGGUGCCCAUCUCCUCUUGUCUUCUUUCAAUUAUUUUUUGACUUUGUGUCCAUCUCCUUUAUCUCUUUCAGCUUUUCCUUUCUUUUAUUCUCUUCAUUCCAUCUAUAUCUCCUCAUCUCUUCCCUGAAUUAUUAUCUGACAUGGUUCACAUCCCACUCUACAUAAAGCAUCAUCUUCUUGUGGUCUCAAAUUCACACCUCUUUGGGGUUUUAGGGCCAUAUUGAAAAGGAUUAAAAGGAGAAUGAACAAAAUUUUCAAAGUGAGAAAUGAAAAACAUUGAUUUUGGUGGGUGUAAACACGAAUUUCCUGCGACAAAUGAGACAAGAAUACAUGUACAAAAUAAUAUUGUAUUAAUGAAAUUUAGGGUUACAAUCUCUGUAUUGAAUCCUCUGAUUCGAUCUCCAAAGUGUUUAAAGAAAAUAUGUGUUUGAUACAAGGGUCGUAGAGACUUGAUCUUGAUCAAACGGGUAGCACGAAGCUUGUUUGGUGCUUGGAAUUUUUCUAUGGUGAAGGAACCGGCACGUAUUUGUUGUGCUUAGUGGCUCUUCCAAAGUAGGGUGAAGAAUGCAGAGAGUUUUCUGUUUCUUCUGAGUGCUAGGUUUUUUCCCCGACCUUCUUUCGUCUUGAGGCCUCCUAUUUAUAGGCUUUUGUAAGAUGCUUGACCUAAAUAACUUUCCCUAUUUAAAAUCUUGUUUUAUGGGAUUUUGAUUUGAUUUAAAUCAAUUCCCAUAAUCUGGCGAUUUAACCAGAUUAUCUUCAAUUGAUUGACCUAAUUAAUAUUUGAUUUAAAUCAAAGUCAAUCACAGAAGAUUCUUUCCUUUAAAUUUGUCUUCAUCUUGAACCGUUUGAUGCACUCCGUCGGAUGUCGCCAUGUGUCAUUUUUGACAACUAAUCCGAUUUUGAUGAGUCACACGCCACAUGGGCGAAUUACGGGGCCUACAAUUUAAUCCACCGAACCCUAAUUAUUUUCUUGUCCAAUGGAAUUUAUUGCACCAAAAUUUCUUUGUCUACAGUGGGUUAUUUAACAAAUGGAUGGGUAUUUAUAGAGUUUGGGAUGAAUUUUGGGGUUACAACUCAUUUUUACCAUUUAAUUAUUUUUUUUCCCGACUAGAUUUGAUUUUUGAACGUUGGAUCUAUUUUAUUUCCAUUGAAAUUUAAGAAUUAAUCAUCGCCUUUGAUCAUAUAGCCGUUGGAACAAUUUGAAAAAAGAAAACAAAAGUAAGUUUUGAUUGUGGCCAUUUGAUUUCAACGGCAAUAUUCAUAUUGCAAUCCACAUGCCCCCAGGGGUGGCUGACACAAUGGGUUCACAAAACUGAAAGGGCAGGAGGUUCCACCAUAUGUCAAGAUGAAAUCUAGAAGGUCCAAGCCCAAGCCAUGGAUUUGCGCCCAAGAUUUCUGGAGAUCAAUGUGCACGUGACAAAGGUCUCAUAAGAAAAGAAAUCAAGGAGGUUGAUGACGAUUCAGGAUUUUCCAAAAUGAGAGAAAAUCAAGCAGCCAUAAUAUCUCCGCUGACGUAAUCUACAAAUUUAGGGGCCUAGAAAGGAAAGAAUGUUUAAAGAGUUGACAUUUGGCCAUUCAAUGGCCAGCGCAUGGGCUAACGGACGCCCUAUAUAAACUUCACCAAACGAAGGCAGAAGACACGCAUCAUCAGACACACAAACCUAUUUUUCGUCUCGCACUUUUCUUUUCUUAGACUUAUUAGGAUUUUACAUUUUAAGCACCUAGUGUAACAAGUCCUUCCUUUCCUUAGUGUAAGUUUAAAUCCUUGCAAUUUACAUUACCUUGUCAUUUAAAUUCAAGUUUAUUUCAAUCGCUUUCUUUUUCAUUGUUAUUGAAUUUUCAUUAAGUUUAAAUUCAAGUUUAAUUUAGUUUACCAUUCUUAUCGUUCUUAAUUCAUUCUUGUUUAUUUAUCUCUUUGAUCUAUUUUAUCGCACUUCUCGUCUUUACGUUAUUUAUUUUAUGCACUUUACUUUAUGCAUUUAUCUUUAAAUUAUAUUUAAGUUUAAGCACCUUCACGUUACGCACUUGUUCUUCAUUUCAUUACGUUUCACCUUCAAUCUUCAUCUCCCCCUACUCCACAUCAUUUGGUUGCUCACAUAAAACCUUGACCCCGAGGUAGUGAAAGAACUUAGGCCGUGAGGAGGUUCCUUGCCCAGCCAAGCAAUCGUUUGAUUAGAAGUUAGAAGCGCGACAUAUCCAACAUACACUCGCAUUCCAUCCAAGCCAAAUUCGUGGCUUGGUGGUGGCAUGCCCGGCACUCGAAAAAGAAGGACCAAAAGUUCCUUUCCUCAGCCUAUCCGGCCAAAAAGAGGGAAACAGGUGCGAAGAGGAAUAAGAGAGAGAGAGAGAGAGAGAGAGAGAGAGAGAGAGAGAGAGAGAGAGAGAGAGAGAGAGAGAGAGAGAGAGAGGGAAGAGAUCAACACAUUGAAUGUGCAAAAAUGAAAAUGAUAUUGGUAUUACAAAUUAGUACCGCAAUUACCGAUUUGCUCCAGGACCGACAAAACCGACCCAUUCGAUUCGUCAGUUUUGUUUGUUUGUUUUUCAGAAUAAAAUGCCAAGCUAAGAUGCAAAUAUCCAUUUUCUCUACUUAUUCCUACCUUCCCUUGUUUAUAAAUGUCAAGUCCCAGUUUAACUUAUGAUCCAUGAUUGUAUGAUGAUUGUGAUUAUAUAUUAUUAUAUCAUAUAAAAUCCUAUGCCUUAUUCCAUUUUUCAUGUAAUGCAUUAUAAUUUUCUAAAAUCAUUUUCUUGAGGAAAAUGUUAAAUUUGUUAGAAAUGUUGAUUAUUUUGGGUCCAGCAUAUCAUAGUUUUGCUGAUGUUUACUCGCUAUAAGUUUGGUCUUAUGGAUAUUUUACAUGUUAUAUUCUUAGUAUGUUUCACCUUUAUUAAUCCAACUAAUGAAAUGAUGUAACAUUGGUGUGCCAAAAAUAAAUUUAUUAUUAGUCAUAGCUCUUCGUGUAAGGGACAUAGGAAAUUGUUUAUUUUGCCUAGAACAUGAAAACAAAUUGGUUGCUUGACUUCAUUAAAGUAUGUCUGGCCCAUUGUGAGAGGAUCAAUUGAUUUCUCAUGAGUCAUGGCCCAUAAGAACUCUAGUUUCGUUUCAGUGGUUCAUUAUGUCAGAAGAGGCACCCAGGGGAUAUUGGUCUAAUGGACUUGGUAUUUGGAAUGCAUGAUUGGUGAUGGAAUUCAUAAUGCUGUUGCAAUUUUCUCAAUUCUUAUUUAGAAGGUGACCAGGCUUUCUCCAAGGAAAUUGAUAUUAGAUAUGUAUGAUUUCAUAGUGGCCUUAUAAGGUUUUUGCUCUUGCUGCAAGUUGGUUUAUAAGUUUAUGGAGAGAGAUAUAGUCUUUCAGUGCCUGGUUGUCUGCUUGAUGCAUCGAAUGUUUGACAUGAACUUGAUUAUUCUUCUCUUAAAUUUUUGUUGUUGUUAUUGACAGAGUUUCUUUACUUUUUUUUUUUUUUCAUGUGCCCUAAAGAGAAAUGGUAAGUUGAUAAUGUACAUAACCUUCAUUUUGGGCAUUUGAGCACUAUUUUGUUUUUAAAGUACAUAACCUUCAUUUUGUACUGAUCAUUACAAAAAUGGCACCCAUUAUCGGUAGCCAUUUGUAGUGAUGAACCAGAGGCAGUUAUGAUAUCCUGCAGAACCAAUCUAGAGUCAUGAAUUGCUUAUUGUUCACAUUCAUCAAUGUCCCUUUUGAUUGACUAAGAGAUGCUCAAUGUUGUGGGAUGUGCAAUGAUUCUCAGAAAACUAAACUCCGAGUCGUAUCAUUGUUUUACAGAACGGAUGAAGCUUUGUGGCUAUAUGGCAGUGGAAUCUGGAAGUGUGCAGAAUUCGAGGACUUCUUCUACAAGUAUGUCAAAACGUAGGAUGGGAAUUGGGGCUACUUAUCACAAACAAGUGCAGGGUAGGGAAUGCGACUUCAAGUGGAAUGAACUCGAGAAAAUGAGUCGCAUCUAUGCUGAUUGGAUUGAAGAUAUCCCCAUUGUACAUGGCUCAUCAAGUAAAGCGGAGUGCUGAUCAAGUUUAGUUUGAUAUGUGUAAAGGAAGAGAUUAGUUCUGUAUUCUUCCUGUACAGAUAGGAAGUUUGUUGUGUUUUGGUAUUGUAUUAUUUAUAAAUUUUUGUUAUUAAAAUAAAUUAUGUUCAAAAGGCUUACGCCUCAAUGUUUCAAAGCUUACGCCUCGCAAAGUGCAACUAAAAAUGCAUCGCCUCUACUCCUCGCCUUUGAAAACAUUGCUCCAAGCAUAUAUAGUUUCGUACGUACAACUGAGAUUUCCCCAGUUGCCACUAAGACUGACUUUUGAAUUGAUAUCUUUGUCUAGCUAGAACUUAUAGUUUGAUACAAUAUACAUCUGAGUGGCCACAUAUUCUGAUAUGAUCUUGCAAUUUCAUCGUUUAUUGUGGCAGAAGAAAACUUAAAUUGGGAGGAAAGAAGUGCUGUUGGGCAUGCAUAUUAUAAAAGUGAGCUCCAUUUUCUCAUUUUCCCGCAUUGUCUUUCUGUGCAUUUAAGCAGCAUUCUGCACAUCGAGAGCACAAAUUGAAUUGCAUUUGGUGUGUCCAAGGAUACUUGUCCUGUUGACUGAUCAAUUUCAUUCUUUUUUAGAGGUAAUCUGCCGUAGCCUUUUGUCUAAUUUCCAUUUAAGAGCAGAUAGAAUAUCAUUUUGCUGUCUUCUCUUUUUCUGGGUAAUCAGAAAAUGUCUUCUUUUAUAGAGACAUUGUCCUUGCCAACGGUAUACAUACCCGUCAAUAUCAUGAUUAAUUAACGCUAAUUUCAUGGAGCUGUUUUGGAAUUUGCCAAGAGAGGGAAGAUCAUGAAAUCUUCUUCUCAGAUUAGUGAUUGAUUGUGAUUGGUUUUUAUGGUUUAGUCUCACGGCUAUACUAUUUCUUUUUAAAAAAAAUUAGAAAAACCGAGUAUAGCCGAGUGGCUAUAUUUAAAUAAAUUUGACAAAUCGAGUAUAGCCGCCCGGCGACACUACUUUUAAAAUAAAUUAGAAAACCCGAUUCUAAAGCUUAAUUUCAAUCCAAGGGCACCCAUAAUCAGCUUAUAGUCCUCCGGACAGCUUUAUAAUUUCAUUUCAUGGUUCUUAGGGCAUUCAUAUGAGUAAUCAUGCUUUUGUUGUGAUGUUGACCAUAGCAAACCUAAUGGCUAUAUAGCUUCGGGGUCUUGCAAAUUGGAGAUUAUUAGUGGCAAAAAGAAUACCAGCUAUAUUGGGGUCAAAAUCUCUACAGACCCUUUGGUUUCCCAAAUCAUGAAGGGUUGAACACUUUUUAUUCAUUUUUAACAAAACCAAGAGAGAACAAGGGAGAAAUUCUAUAUAUACUAAAAUCCAAUGCAACUAAACACUGUAGCUAAGCACAGUAUAAUGACGGAAAUGCCCCUCAUUUUGCUGCUGUUUUUGUUUUGUUUUUUCUUCAGCACAGUAAAUUGACGAAACUGCCCUUGACUAAACAGCUCCUUCUGUUUCCGUUUUUGCCCCUUCUCCUUCGUUGAUAACCCUUCGUUCGCUCACAGAAGCCCCCAUUUCCAGUUCGUUUUGAACCAGCUGGUUGGGGGGCAGCCAUGGAAGAUCUGCACAUGGAUGGGGAGCCGUCGAUCUUUGUUUGGGAGGUGCGCUGCAAAUCCAGCCGUCCUUUUGCUCUUCGUCUGAGAGAUUUCUGGUGGGAAGAUUUUCCAUCUUUUCUACAGCCUUCCACUCAGACUUCCAUCUCUCUUGCUUUCGAAUUUCUGCAUCCUUUGUCUCCAGGUAUGCAUCCCGUUUUCAUUUCAUGAAUUUUAUUGUUGGCUGGGAGAUUUUUCGUUUUUUGAAAUAGAAACAGGGUUUACAUUUCUCCCCUAUUAAUUUUGAGAUUUUUCAUUCCCCCUGUCGGCUGUCGGCUACCUCUACAUCCUUCUCACAGGCACUUCUAUCAUAGAUUGUGACUUUGAACUAUGAUUCACCAUCAUAACGGAAAACCAGGAAAUUCCCAGUUUCUAAAUGAUGAUCCUUCACAAAACCCUGUCAACCCUUAGAGAAGAACAAGCCAUUCUGUCUCUUCUUCCAAUUCCACAGCCCUCCCUUUCCCACUUGGGCCUCUAAGAGAACAUUUGCGAAGUGAUCCUCCGUUGAAGUUCUUGAUAAACACCGGUGAUAUAUGCUGCAAAAUUCAAUAGCCCUUGAAUUGAACAUCCUAUGAUGGGAUUGAACAUGCUUUUGAAUUGGUAAUGGCAGGUGACUCUUUGUGUGUGAAGAAAGGCUUGCGAUUGCCCUUGCUGCUGUUGUGGGACAGAGCCAGUGUAUAUGUACAGAAGUUGUGGUAUACAAUGUUCUCUUUCCCUUUCUUUAAUUUCAGUUUUUUUUUCUUUUAAUAGAAUUUCGUCAAAUAUUUUGGUUCUGGAUUUUUUGUGUUGAAGAAAUUUACAAUAAAGAUAUUUUAUGACGUUCUGUGUUCGUAAAUUAUAUAGGUUCUGCUGUAUGCUAAAUUUGCAGCAUCAAUGUUUUAAACAAUUAAGGCAUAGUGAUUAUCAUCCAUAGUUUUGACUUUGGUUUUUUCUUUUUAUUCCCUAGAAAUUAAUUUUAGUGAGAAAUUUGGAUUUCUAUUUCAGAAGGUUUGUUCUCUUCAGUUUUGCAUCUCCUCAACUUUUUAAUGGAUUAAUGAUUUGCUGAUGGGUUUCUAAGCAUAUUGUCAAAAUCUUUGAUUCCUUGACCAAAUUGAUUACGCUGCUGUGAUAAUCUGUUGUAGUCAAUAUUGUUGUUGUGGGAAAGUAAGCAUGCCAAUUUCAACAAUUUGUAAUGAUCUUGCUGCUGUAAUGGGUUGUUAAUUUGUUGUUGUAAUGAUAGGAUUAGAUGAUUACAAUAUCUUGGACAUGGUUUUCUUUUGUUUGUUGUAAAAUAAAACAUAAGCAGAAAACCAUGUUUAAAAAACAUCAAUUUCUAGGGUUAGGGUUUUCGUUUUAUUCUCAAAUGAUUUGAUGGGCAACACGAUUUGUUCAGGAUGACUCUGCAUAUAUAUAUUUGAUUAAUUGAGGGGUCGAGAUUAUAAAUGAGAACUCUCAGAUGAGUUUUUGAAAUUCUCUGUUUUUUACUUUACAGGAAAAAAUGGAAAAUUGUUAUUGAUUAUAUUAGUAUAAUUUGUUUAGGCACCAUCUUUCUAGGAUUUUAUUGCUUUCAUAAUUUAUUUUCUAUGUUUUUCUUUUUGAUUCAUUGCAACUGAGAUAUUCGAGUUAUCUCAGCCUUUGAUUGUUGCUUUUGAUAUGUGUGAAUGAUGUGCAAAUUCAUAAAAACAAUUGUAUUAGUUGAUCAAUCAAUUAUAAUGAACGAUGUUAAAAAAAAAAUAGUUAGUCUUGACCAAAAGUUGAUAUAUUAAAGCUAAUGAACUAAUCAACCAAAAACUGACGCAUAAAAGUGUGCUUUUUGUUUAGGCACCGUCUUUCUAAGAUUUUAUUGCUUUCAUAGUUUAUUUUCUAUGUUUUUCUUUUUGAUUCAUUGCAACUGAGAUAUUCGAGCUAUCUCAGCCUUUGAUUGUUGCUUUUGAUAUGUGUGAAUGAUGUGCAAAUUCAUAAAAACAAUUGUAUUAGUUCAUUAAUCAAUUAUAAUGAAUGAUGUUAAAAAAGAAAGUAGUUAGUCUUGACCAAAAGUUGAUAUAUUAAAGCUAAUGAAUUAAUCAACCAAAAAGUGAUGUAUAAAAGUGUGCUCAGGGACCAAUGUUGCUUUUUGUAUUUGAUUUUCGAAUCUAUUGGUGCUCAGGGACCAAUCCUGCUUCUGAUAUUUUAAAACAGGCCCAAAUUCUCCCUCUCCCAGUUUAUUCACUGUAUUAAAGUUGUUUGAUGCUCUCUACAGAUUAGUAAAGUUGGAAAUUUUUGCUAAUUUUACAUAAUUGUCAUGGCCAAACUGAGAAAGGGAUUAUCUCCUUAAGAAAUUCAAAGCAAAGAACAUAUUUUUAUCAUAAGCUGGUAAUUAGACUCAUGUUACAUGUUAGGCUGGUUUCAAGAGUCUGUAUCCUACCUAUGAACAUAAUCAAUAUCAAUAGUUUGCUAUGCUUCUGCUUAGAGACAUAUUCAUUUUUUGCUAAGAACUUCUGUUUGUUUUUGAUUGAUACUUGGUAUCUUCAUCCUUAGCCUUCUACUUUCGAAUCAUCAAAAUUUCUGCAGAUCUUUUGAUACAUUAAUCUUGAUUGGUGUAGAGGUUGGAUGUUUUGAUACCUAAUUUCUUUUUUUUUCUUUUUUUUUCGGUCAAAAUAGAAAUUGGCAAUUAUUUUAUCUUAGAUGGAAGGAUCAAAUAGAACUAACUUGCUUCUAUCUCCUUUCACUUUAGAUGGAAGGAUGUCUCUGCACACAUCCAGUAGCUUUGUGCAUGCUUUCCUUUUACCCAAUUUCAUUAUUUUCUUUUCCUUGAAAAAUUCUUCAGCCUCAACACAUUCUAUAUAUACUAAAACCCAAUGCAACUAAACACUGUAGCUAAGCACAGUGAAAUGGCGAAACUGCCUUCUAUUUUUACUGUUUUUCAAACUCAUUUUUCUCAUCAGCACAGUGAAAUUACGGUUUUACCCUUGGUUAAUUGCUUUGUGUUUUCCCCGUUUUGCCCCCCCUCUCCUUCGAUUGUAACGGCUUGCCUUUCGUUCUAUCAGAUGCUGGGUUCGCUUCUAACCAGGUUGGUUGGCCUGGUUGCGGGGCAAUGAUGGAAGAGGUCGGUCUACUGUUGGAGAUUAUCUGGAGGCUUCGAUUUUUAUAGGAGUGGCGUGCGUUGGUCUUCUUCUUCAGAUCGAACUCCAGCUUUCUCUCUGUUUCAGUCUCUUUCUCUCACUGAUCUGUAAGUGAAUUUUGCUUCAUCUUUCCAUUCGAUUUUUGUUGCUUUUCUUUUUCAUUUUUGUUGUUACUAAUAUCUUGGAUCUUAUUUGAUUAAACUAUAAGACCUGUUUUAAUUUGCUGCCCUAAAAGUCCAAAUCCCUAAUUUUCCUCAUAGUGGGUCUGUGUUAUUGAUUUGCAAAUUUUAUCCAAAUACUGAAAUUGAUUUAAUUGUGUUAUCAUUUUGAUGAAAUCAUGUUAAACAAUUUAGUUAUUAGAAUACUAUAUGAUUGCUUUUGAUAAGGUUUUCUGUUUGGUUAUUAAAAAUUAGUUGGUAAACCCUGAAAAUUGGUAUUUGGAUAUGCCGGUUCUUUUGUUACAGGGUUUAGGAUAGCUCUGUUUUGGUAAGCAGGAUAUGCUGCUAUUUGGGUUGCUCUGUUUAAAGAUAUGUUCGUUCUUUUACUACAUGGUUUUAAUUCAAAUUCGUUCUUAUACUGGUUUAUGGGACUGGGGAUUUGAAUUUGAUAAUUUUUGUUUUGGUAGGGGAAAGAAAAUUUGGGAGUGUGAUUCUAGGAACUGAUUGCAAUGUUUUAGCAUAGUUGACUUGAAGAAGACUGGUUUGGGAAAUAUGUGGGAUUUGAAAAUCUGACUUCUAAAUUGGAAUUAUGUUUGUGGACAUUAGUGAUGACGAGAAAGAAUUCAGAAAAGUUAAAAUUCAGAAUUUUUUUGUUUGUGGGUUUGAUUUACCAAGCAGAUUUUUGCGUUGAAUGGAAACUUAUUGAAAACUAAAAAAGUUUGUAUAUCCUAAUUUCAGAAUGCAGAGUUUGGUUCUUUUGUUUUUUUCCUUUUCAUGGGCUAAUAAUUUGGCCAUGCUUCUACUCUUUGCAGUUGCUAGGGACUGGAAUGGAUACGCAGGAUACAUCUCCUUCAGUGUUGCUAUUCUUUGACAAGGAAAGAUUUAUAUUUAAUGCUGGAGAGGUAAGGAACUCAAUUACAUACAUUUACAUCUGGUUAGUUUUGUAAUAUUAAAAGUAAGGUGAUGAUUCAAUUAUUGUCUAUGAAAUAGUAAUUAGAGAUCAAUGAUAAACCUGUUGUUAAGUAAUAUAGUGUCUCCUACUUUGCAACUCUCACUGCAGGGAUUGCAACGGUUCUGCACAGAGCAUAAGAUUAAGUUAUCAUAGGUAUAAGAUAUCUGAGAUCCUUACCCAUUAGGUAGUUAAGACCAAAAGUGGGGCUCUAUAUAUAUGCCUGGUGGUUAGCAAGAGAGAGUGAGUGGUUUUAAAGGGUGUCAAUGGCCUUUGAAUUUUACUUAAAUAAGAUUAAAGUUAUGUGCUUUCAAGUAUUUGUGAGCUCUCUGUAUCUGGGUUUUGAGCAAAAUGACUUUUUGAUAAAGCUUUGAUUUGCAGUGUAUAUUAAUGGAGUAAUAGGAACUGCUGACUGAUGCAGUUUUGCAUGUCCUUGGUUAAUGCAUUUAUGUUUGUUCUACAUAGAUGAUAAAUUUUUAGGAGAAAUGGAGACUUAAGGAGAGAAGUUAUGGAUCUGAUAAGGGUUUAGGGUUUAGGGUUUACUGUCUCUAAUUUUUGGAUCCAAAUGGAAUUUCUUUGAUUACAUAUGCUGUUUCUCCAAAGCACCAAUGAAUAAAGCAUUUAGAUUUGAUGGGUUUGAUGUGAAUGGUAUGAAUAAAAGCGUUUAGAUUUGAUGGGUUUGAUGUGAAUGGUAUGAAUCUCUCUCUCUCAUUUUGGUUUGGGAUUUUUGAUUUAUUUGUGAAUUAAUUUUGUUGGGUUCAAUAAAAUUAUCAGCCAGCUGCAGUUGACUUGGUGUAAAUCACGUAUUUGGUCUACUUAAGUUCUUUAUCGUUUCUGCCCAAAAAAAAAAAGUUCUUUAUGGUAAUUUAUGAAGCAUUUUGAUUCUGUUUUCUGGCGUUUUCCUUUGUUUCUCCAACUAAUAGAUGUAGGGGUUUUCUUUUAUUUUUGGUUCACCAAAUGGUUUCAUCUAUUCUGAUUUUCUAAUUUUUUAUAUGAGAUGUGCAGUUGUUGCGGCUCUUAAUCCUUCAAUCUUCUCCAUCUUACUUCGAAAGUUCACAUUACUUUGGUUGUUUUUGGGUCUUUCUGUUAACUACUUUGAACAUGCAUUUUAAGUUCAAUUUUUGUCGGCUUGGCAUUUCCCUUUUUUAAGAAUCUAUUUCAAUGAAGGCAUUCAAGUUAUAUUACUCAGUUAGUUGGAGUUUACAGCAAGACAUUCCAUUUGAGUUCAUUAAAUGUCAAACUGCAUAAAAUAAGUAAGAUUCAUGGUUUUAAAAAAAUGGGACAAGGUUUUGCAAUCAUUAAGGAUCUUAUUGUUAUUGGAAUAGCUCCAAGAGAUCAAGGUUCCAAAAAGGAGUAACAUACAUUUGGAAAGGUAUUCACCCAUGAUCCUACGGCUGUGUCUGCAAUUUUUGUUGGCCUGGCAUUUCCCUUUUUUCUAAUCAUGCCUACCAAAUGAUUGUUCUGAUAUGAGGAUUAAGGGUGCAAUAAAUUUUUUUUUUUAUACCACUGAAGUUGGGAUUUUUGAAGAAAAAUAUCUAUAUCUUCGUUUUGCAGUUUCAACCAUUUUGGAUUUCUAACUGUCUUUAUGAAGAUGUUGAUUCUUUCUUAUAUUCAUGUCACAAAUUAGUGGCAUGCUCCUCAAGAGUUUUUUUUUUUCAUUAUUAUUUUACGUGCUUAUUCUCCUUGAAUAUUUAAGCUCAAAAUAGUUAAACUGCCAUCUGAAAUUUUAUUAAUUGAGUUGUGUGUUUUCUGGAUAUUGUUAGCAAAGUAAAACAAAUGAACAAAUUUCCUUUUCUCUCCAUCUCUGCUUUCGCUUACCUAAAUUGCAUUUUUUUUUUUUGGCAUCCACAUAUUGUUUCACUUUAGUUUAUGAUUUUUUAAAGCAUGAACAUGAUGAACAUGACUUGCAAGACACCCUGCACUUCCUUUUUUUUCUUAGGUAACGCUCUGAUUUCAGUUCUGGGUUUCAUGAAUGUCUAAUCAUGUUUUCCUUUGUACUUGGAUUUUGCUGUGCAUUUCAUAUUAGUUUUUUGUUGUAUGGAUUCAAUUUAAGUUUCAUGCUUCAUGAUGUGUAAUGUUAGAAUUCUUUUGUAGUUAGACUGUUAGAAUCCUGAAAUUUAAGUAUUUGCUUAAAGUUGGUUGGUUGGUUGUAUUUUGAGGCUAUGUAAUUAUGUGGUUGUUGUACUUCAUUCUAAUUACUGUUUAUUUUAUUAUUAUUUUUUUUCAGUAUGAAUCACAGUUAGGCAGUCAUCCAAUUGCUUCAGGUAUGACUUAUGAAAAUUAAAAAGUUAUUCAAAUCUACAUGUUGUAUUGAAACUUUGGAAUUUUAUCUCAACAGAUUCAAUUGUCUCUCACCUCUCUGACGUAUAAGCAAUCACUGAAGCAAAGAAGCGAAGAUAACUUUCAGAUUAUUGUUUCUUUAUUUUGAUUUAUUGACUUUUUCUUUUUUCGUUUGUGUUGCCUCAAAAUUCCUUCACAAAAUUCGACUUGCCUCUACUACUACGUGUUUCCUGCUCUCUUCCUUAUGUUGUUUUCCCCCUGAUUUAAUCUCAGGCUUCCAUGAAAUUUUGAUUGUUUCAGGUGAGCUUGGGUACGAAAUCCAAAUACGAGAAGCAGUCGUUCGCCCAAAUUGUUUAACCAUUCUUCGCUUUAAAGGUAUAUUCAUGAUUGCCUCUCUAUUCCUUAUACUCUCUACUAUUUUUUUUGGUACUGAUUUCUUUAUUUUUGUAAUGUUUGUUUGCUCAUCAUUUCUGCAUUUUCAUGUUUGUAUUUUUCUUUUCUUCCACAACCUUUUCCUUCAGAUGAACACAGAAUUUAAAAUAUGUUUACUUUCAUAUUAUUCAUAUCUUAAAAGUAAAGAAAAACAUUGAGUUCUUAUUUAAUUUCGUUAUUUUGUGUUUCUUCGAUUGGAAAACCAUUUAUAACUUUCUUAUUAAAAUGUAAAAUUAUAUUAUUCCUAUUUAUACAUAAUUAGAUGUUUAUGAUUAUUGUCAUAACUCAAUUUUCCCCAUUCAUCAACAUUAACACUUGCUAUUUUCCCACUUUUUUAUAACAGAGUCAAGACCUCCAUCAAAGAGAAGAAAAGUCAUGAAGAAAUUGCAAAACAAAGCCCACCGAAUUAAACAACGUGCUGCUCAAAACUAUUCAAAUUUUGCUAUUUUAAUAGCUCCUUCCCACUAUUAACAUCUCAAUGUAUAUACAAACAUGUGUACUAUUUUAACAUAACAAGUAGCCUGUAAAAUAUGUGAUUUCCUUUUUUUCCACUUAUACUUCCUUAGUUAAGCAUAAUGCUACGAGUUAAAUCUCAUUGUAUAUAUAAACAAUUUUAUUUUGUUUACGUAAUUUCAAAACCCGCAGCAUCGCGCGGGCUUUAUUGCUAGUAAGAAAGAAAGUGGAAGGGGAAAGAGAGACAGCUACAUAAGAGAGAACAAGAGAAGAAAAAAUAAAGAGGAAAGAGAAGGAAAGAAUCGGAGAGGGGUGUGGAGAGGAAGAAAAUCAGUGAGAGAAAAAGGGAGGAGGGAAGAACAAAUAUAAAUGGGAAACAGUAAAAAAAUAUAUUUCGGCUGCAGAGGCGUAGAGAUGUGAUGGGCAAAAUGCUUUGGGUAGAGCAAAUGGCAAAAACAAACGAAGUAAAAUACACGUAUAAAACAUUUUGGGGCCCCUUUAAUUGGAGGGCUAUGGCCGCCGCCCUCGGGGCAGCCCUGAAAAUCAAAUAUAUAUCUCUUAAAAUGGAUGACAAAUUGAAAAUUGUUGUAAAGUUUUUGAGUGGAGCCCACACAUCUGGAAAUAAUGAAACAUCAUGAUGAAAGUAUUGUGGAAGUGGAAUCCACAUAUUGGAGGACAUGAUUGCACGUUUCCUUCUAAAAUGCCAUAGUUGACUUACAGCCUGUAAAGUCUUCCUGUAAGUGAAUUAUUGUUAGAAAGAUUAAGAAAUCUUUGGUGAAUUUCUCUUACAAUCUUGUGCGCAGAGCAAGCAAAGCAAUGGGUAGUUGCUUGUCAAUCUCCUUAUCAUGCGAUGCCAUUGUUUCACGCUGCUGGGAUUCCGUUUUUGGAAGAGUACGGUAUGUACGUAAGCUCCAAGAAAACCUUCAAGCUCUCACAACUUCUUUACAAGAACUCAAGUCUUUAAAGGAUGAUGUGCAGAGAGAGGUUGAGCUUGCAGAGCGGCAGCCGCGAUUAAAGCGGUUAGAGCAGGUAAAUAACUGGAUUUUAAGCGUGGAGGCUCUUGAGACUGAAAUGAACCAAGUUAUUGUAAGCCAUAGCACUCAAGAAAUUGAGAAAUUAUGCUGCGGAGGUUACUGCUCCAAGAACUACAGAUCCAGCUACAAGUAUGGAAAAAAAGUUGCUAGAAAGUUGGUGGAAGUGGAGGCUUUGAAAAGCAAGGGAAUUUUUGAAGAGGUGGCAGCAGAAAGCUUACCUACAGCUCUAGUGGAUGUGAUACCUAGUGAGCCAACAGUGGGCAUGGAGCCGAUUUUUGAUCAGGUUUGGAGACACGUUGAAGAUGAACAAGUGGGAAUGAUUGGCUUAUAUGGAAUGGGUGGGGUGGGGAAGACCACCCUCCUUACCCAGAUCCAUAACAACUUCAACCGCACUCGUAAUGAUUUCAAUCUUGUGAUCUGGAUUGUGGUAUCCAAGGGCCACAAAAUUGAAGUUAUUCAAGAUAAGAUUGGUGAAAAGAUUGGGCUGUCUAGUGGUGUAUGGAAGCUUAAACAGCAGCAUGAAAAAGCUGAAGACAUCUUCAGAAUCUUGAACACAAAGAAGUUUGUGUUAUUAAUGGAUGAUUUAUGGGAGCCAGUUGAAUUAACCAAAGUAGGGGUUCCAGCUCCUGACAGUCGGAACAAGUUCAAGAUAGUUUUCACAACUCGCUCUGAGGAGGUAUGUGGUCAUAUGGAUGCCCAGAAGAAGAUAAAGGUGGGGUGUUUGACUUGGGACAAAGCAUGGAACUUGUUUCAGAAGAAGGUUGGGAAACAAACACUUCUUCUUCAUCCAGAUAUCCCCAAGCUUGCUGAAAUUGUGGCGAACGAGUGUGGCGGUUUGCCACUGGCACUCAUCACAGUGGGCAGGGUCAUGGCCUGCAAGAAAACACCCCAAGAGUGGAAGCGUGCAGUUCAAGUCCUGAGAAGAUUUGCCUCCGAGUUUUCAGGAAUGGGAGAUAAGGUAUUCCCUCUUUUAAAAUUCAGUUACGAUAAUUUACCAAGUCAGAAAGUUAGAUCAUGUUUCUUAUACUGUGCUCUGUUUCCGGAAGAUUUUGUUAUACUUAAAGAUGACUUGGUAUAUUUUUGGAUGUGUGAAGAUAUAUUAGAUGAAUAUGGUCAUGUAGAGGAAGCCAAAAAUGAGAGUUACCAUAUCAUAGGAACUCUUCUUACCUCAUGUUUGUUGGAAGAUGAAGGAGAUUCAGUAAAAAUGCAUGAUGUAAUUCGUGACAUGGCAUUGUGGUUAGCUUGUGACCUUGGGAAAGAAGGUGAGAACAUCCUUGUGGAUACAGGUGCUUAUCAUGCACCAAAUGUUGCGAAAUGGAAUGCGAAAAGGGUUUCAUUGAUGGGUAGUGGUAUCAAAUCUCUAGAUGAAACACCAAGAUCUCCCAAUCUGUUGACCUUAUUUCUCAGAGGAAUUUUUUUAAAGAGGAUUGUGGAUGACUUCUUUGAUUUCAUGCCUACGCUACGAGUUCUGGAUUUGUCUGAAAAUGUCCUUAUAACUCAACUGCCAACUGGAGUUGCAAAUCUAGUUUCAUUACAACAUCUGAAUUUGUCCAAAACAGGCAUAAAAUGGUUGCCGGAGGAGUUAGCAGCAUGUGCACGCCUAAAGUAUUUGAACUUAGAGCAUACAUUUAAGCUUGAUUAUGUUCCACCAAAUUUAUUAUCAAGUUUUCCGCUGCUUGAAGUUUUGAGAAUACUAGAUUGUGGUUCUUCUGACCGAAUUUUUUUUUAUAGUGAGGAAACCAUGAUAGACGAACUGCAGGGUUUGAAACACCUUGACGUCUUGUCUUUGACAGUUGGAAGUAGCUCUUGUUUCGAGAAUUUGGACAGCCACCACAUAUUAGUGACUUGCACUCUAACUUUAUGCCUCAAGGGCGAGGAUUACGGGAACCCUUCAAGCUAUCUUGAUUUAUCACCUGUGGCGAUGGCAAAUAUGAAACACCUUGAUACCCUUCAAAUUAAACGUAUGGUGGGUGUGUACUCUACGUGGAUAACACGUCUGGAAAAUCCGAAUCGCUUCCUUGGUCUUCAGUUCGUAGAAGUAGUAGAUUGCACAAAUCUCAAGAACCUGGAAUGGCUCGUUUUUGCUCCAAAUCUCAUCCACUUGCAUGUAUAUGGCUGCUCUAAAAUGACGGGAAUACUCGGUUUGAACAGAACGGAAACUACCCCAUUUGCAAAACUCACUGUUUUGCGUUUGAGCAAACUACCCCACUUGUGGAGAAUAUGCGAAAAUCCCUUGCCCGUUCCAUUUUUGAAGAAAAUCCUUAUAUCUGGAUGUCCAGUGCUCACUAGGCUGCCUCUCAACUCUAGCAGUGCUCAAACAAGUAAUCUCAUUAUUGAAGGAGAGGAAAAGUGGUGGAAUGGCUUAGAGUGGGAGGACCAAGCGGCUCGAAAUGCUUUUCUUCCCUGCUUCAGAUCCUGUAAGUGAGGAGGGGCUUCCUGAAAUGCCCGUUCACCAAUUUAAUUGGGUAAUGUCAGCAAAGUAACCGGGAGAUUUCACUUUGUUUCCUUUCCCAUGUUUGUUUUGAGUAGGAAUGGAAAACAAAGUUUGUAUAAUUUUUCAAUUAUACCCAUAUUAAAUCAAAUAAAAAAAGAAUGCAUUUAAUGAUACGUUGUAAUUCUAAAUUGUUCAUAGGGACAAAAUAGUCAUGAAAAUUGUGCAUUGAAUGUUGGCUCAUUUUCCCAAACUUUCCCAUGAUGAGGGAAAACAAAACCCAAGUUAAGAGGAGGGCUUCACUUUCCUCCUACUUUCCCAUGUGCCAGGCAACCAUUUCCCAUGCAUGGACUUACCAAACAUGGGAAAGCAAUUGAAUUCCUAUUCCCAAGCCUCCUUUCCUAUGAACCAAACGAGGCCUUAAGGCAAUGUAUUAUAAUCCGGCUAUGUACAUGAUGUCUGAACUUUAAUAAUUACAUGAUUGUCAAUAUGAUAUUACAUCAUAUUAUUAUUGCCAACAAAUCGUUCCAAUAUGUUGAUGGUUCUGAUUAAUUUUACAUCAAGAAGUCUCGAGGUAUGAAUUUUGACACAACAAGAGGUCUCUACGUAAUUUGCUAAUGUUUUCAUGUUAUAAGUUUGGUAAUGAGAUGUUAUAUUGUUAGUAUAUUUCCCUUUAUUAAUCCAACCCAACUAAUGUAAUGAAGAAACAGUGGUAUGUCAAUUAAAAUUUAUUCUUUUGUGAUAAUGGAUAAAAUAUAAAUAAAAAGAAUUUAUUCAUUAAAAUAUGUCUAACCCAUUGCCAGAGAAUACAUGAGACAAAUAUAACUAAUUUGACUUGUUCACAUGGAAUCAUUUCUUGUUCACAUGGAAUAGGGAGACUAAUGACUUGUUCACAUGGAAUAAUUUCUUGUUCUUAUAUAAUUAAUAAUGCUGAAGCUAAAGAAAGUUGACCCAAUAAUUAUUAAUUUGAACAAGCAUGAUAAGCAAUAUCCAAUAUUGAAAUUGGCCAGAAUAGUUUAUAAACUAUAUUACUUUAUAUUAUUAAUUAAUUCAUUUUCUCUUUGAUUUCUUUUGUAUAAAAUUGAAAAAUAUUAAUACUUCUCGUUUCAUUGAUUCAUUAUCAGAAGAUUCAGACCCAGAACCAACCAGUAGAGCUUUACUUAUUAAAAGAAGACUAUGAACUUGACAUGAACUUGAUUACUCUCUGAAUUUUUGUAUUGAUGGAGUUUCUUUACUUUUUCAUGUGCUCUAAACACAAAUGGGAAGUUGUUAAUGUACAUCAAAUUCACUCAGAUAAUGAAGGGUUUAGUCACUGAUCUCUCGGCAAGAUAACAUGGAAUUUAUCUCUAUCUAUUUGGAAAACCUUUUAAAGAGGUUUCAAAUCUCUAACGCCAUCUUCAAUGCUAAAAGGGCUAAAUCCAAAUUUUCACCCUUCAAAAUACAACUAUUCAUGUAUUGCCCGAACUCAAAUAGUUUUUUCCCCCAACCCUCCAGACUCACCAUAGCCUUAUUAAAUUGUCUAAAAAUAGUUUAACUCUUUUUGUUAAAAUAGUGAAACAUUCUUGAGCUAAGUUUUGUUUAUAACUUCAUGAUUUAUUUUUCCAAACAUUUUUAACCUAAAAAAUUAAAAUUUGACUAACUUAAUUUUAUUUCAAUUAAAAUGAAAACUUGUAGGCCAUUAUCCCAUAUAGCUUGAAUUAUUUUCUGAUUUGGUGCUCAUCUCCUCUUGUCUUCUUUCAAUUAUUUUUUGACUUUGUGUCCAUCUCCCUUAUCUCCUUCAGCUUUUCCUUUCUUGGAUUCUCUUUAUUUCAUCUAUAUCUCCUCAUCUAUUUCUUGAAUUAUUAUCUGACAUGGUUCACAUCCCACACUCUACAUAAAGCAUCAUCUUCUUGUGGUCUCAAAUUCACACCUCUUUGGGGUUUUGGGGCCAUAUUGAAAAGGAUUAAAAGGAGAAUGAACAAAAUUUUCAAAGUGAGAAAUGAACAAAAUUGAUUUUGGUGGGUUAUUUAACAAAUGAAUGGGUAUUUAUAGAGUUUAGGAUGAGUUUUGGGGUUACAUCUCAUUUUUACCAUUUAAUUAUUUUUUUUCCCAACUAGAUUUUAUUUUUGAACGUUGAAUCUAUUUUAUUUCCAUUGAAAUUUAAGAAUUAAUCCUCGCCUUUGAUCAUAUAGCCGUUGGAACAAUUUGAAAAAAGAAAACAAAGGCAAGUUUUAAUUGUGGCCAUUUGAUUUCAAUGGCAAUAUUCAUAUUGCAAUCCACGUGCCCCCAGGGGUGGCUGACACAAUGGGUCCACAAAACUGAAAGGGCACGAGGUUCCACCAGAUGUCAAGAUGAAAUCUCGGAGGUCCAAGCCCAAGCCACGGAUUUGCGCCCAAGAUUUUCAGAGGUCAAUGUGCAAGUGACAAAGGUCUCACAAGGAAAGAAAUCAAGGAGGUUGAUGACGAUUCAGAAUUUUCCAAAAUGAGAGAAAAUCAAGCAACCAUAAUAUCUCCGCCGACGUGAUCUACGGAUUUAGGGGGCCUUAAAAGGAAAGAUUUUUUAAAGAGUUGACAUUUGGCCAUUCAAUGGCCAACGCAUGGGCUAACGGACGCCCUAUAUAAACUUCACCAAACGAAGGCAGAAGACACCCAUCAUCAGACACACAAACCUAUUUUUCGUCUCACACUUUUCUUUUCUUAGACUUAUUAGGAUUUUACUUUUCAAGCACCUAGUGUAACAAGUCCUUCCUUUCCUUAGUGUAAGUUUAAAUCCUUGCAAUUUACAUUACAUUGUCAUUUAAAUUCAAGUUUAUUUCAAUCGCUUUCUUUUUCAUUGUUAUUGAAUUUUCAUUAAGUUUAAAUUCAAGUUUAAUUUAGUUUACUGUUCUUAUCGUUCUUAUUUCGUUCUUGUUUAUUUAUCGCUUUGAUCUAUUUUAUCGCACUUUAAUUCUCGUCUUUACGUUAUUUAUUUUACGCACUUUACUUUAUGCAUUUAUCUUUAAAUUAUAUUUAAUUUUAAGCACCUUUACUUUACGCACUUGUUCUUCGUUUCAUUACGUUUCACCUUCAAUCUUCAUCUCCACCCACUCCACAUCAUUUGGUUGCUCACAUAAAACCUUGACCUCGAGGUAGUGAAAGAACGUAGACCGUGAGGAGAUUCCUUGCUCGGCCGAUCAAUCAUUUGAUUAAAAGUUAGAAGCGCGACAUAUUCAACAUACACUCACAUUCCAUCCAAGCCAAAUUCGUGGCUUGGUGGUGGCAUGCCCGACACUCGAAAAAGAAGUAGGACCAAAAGUUCCUUUCAUUGGCUUACUCGGCCAAAAAGAGGGAAACAGGUGCGAAGAGGAAGAAGAAGAAGAAGAAGAAGGAGAGAGAGAGAGAGAGAGAGAGAGGUGGGAAGAGAUCGACACAUUGAAUGUGCAAAAAUGAAAAUGAUAUUGGUAUUAUAAAUUAGUACCGCAAUUACCGAUUUGCUCCAUGAUUGACAAAACCGACCCAUUCGGUUCGGUCUGUUUGUUUGUUUUUCAUAAUAAAAUGCCAAGCUUAGAUGUAAAUAUCUGUUUUCUCUACUUAUUCCGACCUUCCCUUGUUUAUAAAUGUCAAGUCCCAGUUUAACUUAUAAUCCAUGACUGUAUGAUGAUUGUGAUUAUAUAUUAUUGUAUCAUAUGAAAUCCUAUGUCUCAUUCCUUUUUCCAUGUAUUGCAUUAUAAUUUUCUAAAAUCAUUUUCUUGAGGAAAAAGUUUUAAUGACAAAAAUAUCGGGUCUCCACUCCAUGUACUCGACGAGCUUCCCGUUUACCUGGCAGAAGGCCAAAUGGUGAUAGCAUACUCAGCCUCGACCAACUCUCCCUUGUCAUCCCAUCUACUCAAUUAAACAUGUCACUAAUGGAUGCAAAAUACAGUCAGGGUAAGGUUUUUCAUUUUUCACAAACAUUUUGGUUUCAUAACAAUUUAGCUGAGGCGCAUAAUGUUUAGAACUUUCACUUAGGUAACCUUCUCAUCUGGGCUUUCUGAAUAUUUCAAUUUGGUCCAUUCCCAACUUAGAAAUGUUCAUCUGGAUUGCGAUACAUUGCGAAUUUGCAAACAUUGAAACAGAAUGGCUCUCAUUUCUUGAUUGAUACCCACUCAUUUGUUCUGAAAUUGCACCUGGGUUUUCUUAGCUCCAACUAUGUCUCGAGCGUAGUUUUCUUCUGGGUUCUUUGACAUUUCAACAAACAGUUUGAGCUCCAACUUGGUUUCAAGUUCUGUACCAACAUGAGCGAUUCUGGACCUACUUGCCAAUUCUUUGCCCCAUAUCUUGAAUCCGGUGACAACAAGCAUCAACUAAAGCCUGAAUUUCCUAAUGCUGAUAAAGAUUUCAAAGAUCACUCUGACAUUGAAAGCCAUCCUUUCAAGAAACCCAAAACUUCUGAAGUUGUAUUGAUCUCUACGAUGCCCAUGGCGCAGAAUAAAAUGUUGCCUUGUAAUUUCAAAACCAGACUUUGCAAUAACUUCAAAAUGGGUAAUUGCCAUUAUGGGCAGGGAUGUUGUUUUGCCCAUGGAAUCAGUGAUCUCCGCAAGACUUGGCGUAAUUGGCAAGGACUGGAAACUCAGGAGGGCUUCAAGGCCAGGACUUGUGAUCAUAGAAGAACUUCUGAUGAUGUUUGCAGAUUGUUCUUUAAUGGGGGAAAAUGCACAUAUGGAGACAAGUGCCGCUAUCCUCAUCAUGUAACUCCUGAAAACAUCAGAGAGAAGUCAGCGAUAAGCAUUUCAACUACUGGUGCUCACAUUGGUGGUUCUGAUCAAUUUGUUGAAAAUGUUGAUUAUUUUGGGUCCAGCAUAUGAUAGUUUUGCUGAUGUUUACUUGCUAUAAGUUUGGUCAUAUGAAUAUUUUACAUGUUAUAUUCUUAGUAUAUUUCACUUUUAUUAAUCCAACUAAUGUAAUGAAGUAACAUUGGUGUGCCAAAAUUAAAAUUUAUUAUUAGUCAUAGCUUAUCGUGUAAGGGACAUAGGAAAUUGUUUAUUUUACUUAUUUUGCCUAGAACAUGAAAACAAAUUGGUUGCUUGACUUCAUUAAAGUAUGUCUAGCCCAUUGUAAGAGGAUCAAUUGAUUUCUCAUGAGUCAUGGCCCAUAAGAACUCUAGUUUCGUUUCACUGGUUCAUUAUGUCAGAAGAGGCACCCAAGGGAUAUUGGUCUAAUGGACUUGGUAUUUGGAAUGCAUGAUUGGUGAUGGUAUUCAUAAUGCUGUUGCAAUUUUCUCAAUUCUUAUUUAGAAGGUGACCAGGCUUCUCCAAGGAAAUUGAUAUUAGAUAUGUAUGAUUUCAUAGUGGCCUUAUAAGGUUUUUGCUCUUGCUGCAAGUUGGUUUAUAAGUUUAUAGAGAGAGAGAGAUAUAGUCUUUCAGUGCCUGGUUGUCUGCUUGAUGCAUCGAAUGUUUGACAUGAACUUGAUUACUCUUCCCUUAAAUUUUUAUUUUUUUUUGUUGUUGUAUUGACAGAGUUUCUUUACUUUUUUUUUUUCUUUUUUUUUCCCAUGUGCUCUAAAGAGAAAUGGGAAGUUGUUAAUGUACAUAACCUUCAUUUUAGGCAUUUGGCAGUAUCUUUUCUAUUUUGUUUUUAAAGUACAUAACCUUCAUUUUGUACUGAUCAUUACAAAAAUGGCACCCAUUAUUGGUAGCCAUUUGUAGUGAUGAACCAGAGGCCGUUAUGUUUUUCCUGCAGAACCAAUCUAGAGUCAUGAAUUGUUGAUUGUUCACAUUCAUCAAUGUCCCUUUUGAUUGACUAAGAGAUGCUCAAUAUUGUGCGAUGUGCAAUGAUUCUCAGAAAACUAAACUCUGAGUCGUAUCAUUGUUUUACAGAACUAAUGAAGCUUUGUGGCUAUAUGGCAGUGGAAUCAAGAAGUGUGCAGAAUUUGAGGACUUCUUCUACAAGUAUGUCAAAACGUAGGAUGGGAAUUGGGGCUACUUAUCAUAAACAAGUGCAGGGUAUGGAAUGCAACUUCAAGUGGAACAAACUCGAGAAAAUGAGUCGCAUCUAUGCUGAUUGGAUUGAAGAUAUCCCUCUUGUACAUGGCUCAUCAAGCAAAGCGGAGUGCUGAUCGAGUUUAGUUUGAUAUGUGUAAAGGAAGAGAUUAGCUCUGUAUUCUUCCUGUACAGAUAGGAAGUUUGUUGUGUUUUCCUAGAUCUAACACCUUAGUUUUGUUGAACAAGUGCGGAUUGACGUUUGAUCUCGAUACAUGGCUUAUGGCUUAAUAAUCAGAAGAUGCUUCGAAUGAAUCCAACUCUGCUGAAUCAGGAGAAUCCAACUCGACCAGAAAACCAGCAAACCUAAGUCCCUACAAAGAGGGCUUCUUAUAUCUUGAUUUUCCCCUAUCUCUGUUAUCCAGGGAUUUCAGUCGUUACUUUGCUUUUUGUAAAGGCAUGUUUUCUUUUUACAAGAUGUGGU
rnacentral:lncRNA from 1 species